GUCUUCUCUUCUCAUGAGGUGGCCAAAGUAUUGGAGCCUCAGCUUCAGGAUCUGUCCUUCCAGUGAGCACUCAGGGCUGAUUUCCUUCAGAAUGGAGAGGUUUGAUCUUCUUGCAAUCCAUGGGACUCUCAAGAGUCUCCUCCAGCACCAUAAUUCAAAAGCAUCAAUUCUUCAGCGAUCAGCCUUCUUUAUGGUCCAGCUCUCACUUCCAUACAUCACUAGUGGGAAAACCAGAACUUUAACUAUACGGACCUUUGUUGGCAAGGUGAUGUCUCUGCUUUUUAAGAUGCUGUCUAGGUUUGUCAUUGCUUUUCUCCAAGAAGGAGGUGUCUUUUAAUUUCGUGGCUGCUGUCACCAUCUGCAGUGAUCAUGGAGCCCAAGAAAGUAAAAUCUCUUACUGCCUCCAUUUCUUCCCCUUCUAUUUGCCAGGAGGUAAUGGGCCCAGUGGCCAUGAUCUUCGUUUUUUUAGCAUGGACAUUUCUGAGCUAGCUGGCCCAAUGGUCUGACUCAGCUUCCUAUGAAUGCUAUAAGGCAGCUUACCAUUGACAGACAAAGAAAAAAGAUGGGGCAAAGGAGAGCAAUUUGGCAGGAAAGGGGAGGUAGGUGGGGAAAUUUUUAAUUUAUCUUAAAAACCAUUGUAAACAGUUAAAAUUGUUAGUAGGAUUUGAAUAACACUUGUAGUUUAAUGGUGAAUUUUGGAUAUAAUGGAGAUGUAAAAGAUAUGGAUUAUUAUAAAAGAUGCAGGAGGAAAUGAUUAACAAUAGGACCCACAAAGGGGAGAAGGGAAGUCCAGGAGGUUCUUUGGAAUCUUGUUUUUAUGUUGUAUGUUGGCUAUGUGAUUGUAAAAUUCAAAUUUGGAAAACCAAAUAAAUAAAUUUAUUGGGAAAGGAGAGGUGGAGCUCUUGGUGAAAGAAUAGCUUGUUUCUCAAUGAACACUAGUUCACAAUACUUGUUGGGUUGUGUCCUUCUCUUUCAUAAGAACACAGCGACACCUCCCAGCAAUACCUCACAUGUAAGGAAGAGAGGAUGUUCCCCAUCUUGUUCCUUGACCAUUCCAUGGCUUUGCAUUCCAUUCUGGUCCAAACUGGAGAAACUUGCAGGCUUCACAUAGGGUCACUGUGAGAAGAGGAUGCUGAGCUAGAUGAAGCCCUGAGCUUGAUCCAACAGGGCUCUUCUCACUGUCCUGAUGUAAGAAGUAAUUCUAAAAUCAGAGCAAGUACAGGUUGCUAUGGACUUUGGUCCAUCUUCAUCUCUCUCAUGUCCUUCACCUUAGAUGCACAUGUAAACAUUGACUGAUGUGAUCAUAUAGAUGAUUGCCUCAUGAUUAUUUUCAUGCAGUUUUUUAUUGACGGGCACACCUGCUCCUGCACAUUAGUAAAACAACACAACAAUGAAUCAUGAUACAGAGUAUCUCUAUCUAUCUAUCUAUCUCUAUCUCUAUCUCUAUCUCUAUCUCUAUCUCUAUCAUCUCUAUCUAUCUCUACUAUCAUCAUCUCUCUAUGCAAACACCAGCAUGACAUUUGAUUAUUAUUUUUUGUAUGUUGUUUUAGCACUGCAUACAACAAUACAAGCACUGCUGUAAAACACUACUGAAAAAGAAUUUUGGUCCAGUUUUGCCUGCAAUCAAAUCAAGAUGGUUUGCUCCCCCCCCCCCCGAGCGGGGGGAAAUAUACACACCAAAAAAUGGUUCUCUUCUAUAGUUUCCCAGUUUUAUUCCUCUGUCUGCAAAGUGAAAUCAAAAGGAGGUAAGCUAGUAAUACAGAGGGCAGAAAAGUUAUGAAAUAAAUGAAAGAAUGGAAAGCAGCAGCAGACUUCACAUGCACAGUGAUUUGUAAAAGAUGAAGAAGUACAAAGGCGCAUUCUUCAUGCAUCAUCAAUUCCACUUCAGAAACAAGAUCAUUUUUUUUGGGGGGGGGAUUCCAAAACCUGGAGAGAUAUUCCAAUGAAUAGAAUUUCAGGAGCUAAUUUGGACCAUCCUUUUGCUUCAAUGCUCUAACUAAAUCUGCAGCAAAUCGCCAUCAACACAUCUCCAUUUACAGUUUUAAUAGAGGGCUUAUCUACAUUUACUUUUCCUCCAGAUUUUUCAGGCACAGUCCAUGCUUUAAUGUGUGUCUGAGUGCCCCCACUUCUUCUUCUUUUUGCUCUGAAGCUUUUCCCUCAAACACCCACUCUUUAAAUUGAAUUGAGGCAAACAGCAAUCUUCAGGAAAAUUAAAUUGCCAUUUGCUCUGAUUCAGCUUUAAAGAGCAGGUUUUCACAGUGAUACUCCAGAGCAAAGAAACACCAGUGUGCUUGAACACAGAACUUUAAACCACAGGCCUAUGCCUGGAAAAAGUGGGGUAAGAGAUAAGUGUGGAUGAGCCCAGAAAAACAAAUAACAGAGUGGCUAUUGCAUUUCCUGUAUUAACAAAGUACCUUGCUAUUCAUUCUCUCCUACAUUUUCAGUAUUUCAAUGCAAGAAAUAAAUAACAGCAAAGACUCAGCUCAGAGAAGGUACAAAAGCUGGUCUCUUUAAAACAACUGAGAGGAACAGAUUAAUUUAUUUUUUACCUUGCUGAGAGAUGAGUACUGUUUUCUCCUGCCUGUCCUCCUUUUACCUCUUUGAAUGUUUUAUCAAUAAAAGCCACCCUGAGGAAACAAAGGUAAAAUUGAAUUACCUUGGAUUAAAUGGAUUAAUUUCUCAAGCAGAGUAAAGGACUGAUGGGAGGGUGGUAACGAUGAAUAUUUGUUCUCCAGGGAAUUGGAUUUAGUACUCUGCAUCACUGCAAAUACAUACAGAGUGACUCCAUUAUAAAGCCCCUUAAUGGUGAACAGUUGUCCUUUGGAAAGUUCAAGUUCCAUGUGCAUUUCUUUGGUUGAGCAGCAAGGUGGUUGCCUAGAUCAGCCUCCUCCAACCUGGUGCCUCCUAGUAGUUUUGGACUACAACUCCCAUCAACCCCAGCCAGCACGGUCAGGGAUGAUAUGACUUAUAGUCCAGCAACAUCUGGGGCACAGCGUUGAAGAAUGCGUAGGUAGAGAACCGAUGAUGAAACAUCCUGAGAUAGUUUGAAGGUUGCAUAUUUGGUACGUGUUAAAACAGGAUGGGUUUUAUUGUGGGUGGCUGGUUUUCUUAUGUGAAAAUGUUGCAGUGUUCUACCAUGUUGAACCUUAUGGUUGUGAAUAAGUCCAAAUAGAAGCUGCCCCCCAAUAUAGGCCAUGGCCCACACCCCUCAAAUUAGGUGUGCUGGUCCCGGGGGCUAACCAAGAGGCAAGGUCCGAGUCCAGUCCGAGGUCGAUGGUGCGGUAUGGAGGCUAUCCGUCAAAGCUGUAGCUGGGUCCAAGGCGGGGGGUCGGGUGGGGUCAGGAACUCUGGCAGAAGAGCAGGACAAGGUGCAGGCAGGAAUAGGCUAGCAACAACGUUGCUCCCGCAACCUGGGACUGGGGUUGACUGGCUUUUAUCUGCCCUGGGGCAUAGGGCGGCCCCGGUCCACAGGUUACUCGCCUCUCCUGGCCUGGAGGCGAGCACUCCUCCUGCAGGAACUUAGUUCCCUCCGCCUCUCUGCCCUGAGCCUCUGCAGCUCAGGAGAGGCUGGAGGGUUACCGGACCCAUAGGAAACCUCCUCUUCCCCUGACGGGGCUGAGAGUGGAGCACCUGCAGGCAAUGGGUCCUCCAUCACCUCAGGGGCCAGAGCAGACUCAGCUGGUGUCUGCACCUGAGGAUCCAGCACAGGUGAGGACACUUCAGGCUCAGGCCCCAGCCCCGGCUCAGCUGGUUCUGGAGGCAGGGAAUCCUGUGCAGGCUGGGAUUCCUCACAUUAAGCCUCUGAGUCCGAAUCCCAGGCCAUCACACCAGGUCUAUUUGAAAGGUGGGUGUAAUACCAUAGCUCUACCAUGCAUGACUUCUAAACUUAUCUCAUCUCAUUGCAACUAGGGCCACCACUGAGAAGGGCAGAUGAUCUUUUCACAAAAUCUGCCCAAGCAUAUUGAAGUUCCACAUGGUUCCAGAGGUCUCCCAAGUUCAGGUUUUGUACAAGCCAGCUCUUUGUAGGGGGUGUUAUGUGGCCGAUACCGGUAUUCAGACCAAUAUGGUAUUAUUACAUUUCGGUCCAUACAUGGGUUCUUUAUGUGAGGGACACAUAGCUACUUACCUUUCUUCAAAUGUGCACUUAAAAUGUUUUCUUGCAUAAGGCUCCACAAAUAUAGGCAUGUGCAUAAAGGGUCAAUUUGGUCCAUCUCUAUCACCUCAUUUUCCAGGGGAAAUAGAUACACAAAUCAGGGCUUUGUGCACAUGGCUAAACAUGUGGAACCAUUGUAGAUGUGCAGCAUGGUGGAGGCAGACUUUAUGUAUUUAUUCAAUGGAAUCUGUACAGUGGUACCUCGGGUUAAGAACUUAAUUCGUUCUGGAGGUCCGUUCUUAACCUGAAACUCUUCUUAACCUGAGGGAGCACUUUAGCUAAUGGGGCCUCCUGCUGCCGCCUCACGAUUUCUGAUCUCAUCCUGAAGCAAAGUUCUUAACCCGAGGUACUAUUUCUGGGUUAGCAGAGUCUGUAACCUGAAGCAUCUGUAACUGAGGUACCGCUGUAUACCACUUAUAUGUAAAAAACCCCAAAAAAACCCCACUUGGAGGUUUUCGUGUGAUAUGCUUUAAAACCAGUGAUACAAGUCGGAGUUACAAAUAAAGUCACCAGGUUGGAGAAGGGUGGGUAAAAUCCUCAGCUCUUGUGACACUGCCACUCAGAAUUCAAAAUUUCUGCAAAUUGUGGGUGGUCCCAAACGUUGAUCUGUUGCUACCAGACACCAAGUAGUGGCUGGGCCUGUCUUCUCUCCUGGUGAGGGCCUGAUCGGUAACUCAUAAAACCACAAUUAGAUCCCUUUUGAAUCAAACCAAAGGCCAAUGCUUUAACAAGGGGUGGGUGGGUAAACUAAACUUAGCAUCCAUGUUUCAGUGUGUGCUAGUAUUCUAUUUCCAACAUUGUACAAUGUACAUGCCACUGUCAGUUGGCAUUUGGAAACAUAUGGCUGCAACACCAUGCACUAUGCUACAAGUUUCUUAUCUAGUGUUGUGUGACAAAUAAUUCUGAACAGCUUGUCAACGAUGAGAAGUUGAAGCUUUUUUUUGGGGGGGGUUGCUUUUUUUUUGCUUAGAUGCCUUGACAGUGCUUGUAUUAAACAGCCAAAGCCCUACACUCCAUUAAGUUUUUGUAAAAUGAACUGCCUGUAACUUGUGGUUUCCCUGAUAGUGGCAGCAGUGGCGGCAGUUGCAGGCUAAUCCUCCGCAGUUGGUUGGUUUGGUUUAGUGAGAGCCUUCAGUCGUACGACAGGUAGCAGAUCUUUCUCAACAGCUAGCGCUGGGACUUCAGGGCUAAAAAUUAACUGAGAUAAGCAAGAAGUAAUUUUCCUAGAACAGGGUUGUUUUUUCAGAACAGCAGUGAACUCUAAACUGGAUUAUUAAAUAGAAAGGCCGCAGUGGGCUUAGUUUGGGUAAUAGAUCUUCCCCAGUGGAGCAUAAUCCAUCAGAUUAUACCAACAGCAAACUCAUCCACUGACUGAGGUUCCUCAUGUAGCCAAAAGAGCACCAUCAAUGCUCAAGAGAUAGGAAUCAGCAGGCCUGAAGGAACUCCAAGUUUGGCAGAAGCACCUGGAGGGUGCAGUGUGGUGGGGAAAAAUACAGAAUCGCCCUCCUGACAUCAGCAUCAGAACGGGGCUGGGUCAGGACAGGGUAGCACUGAUGUAGCAGCAGCACAGAUUUAUCAGUGGAGCCGAUGCAGUACAGCUGCCCAUCUAUCUACACAAGCCUGACCUUGCCAUCAGCUCACCCUGCCCCAUCCCCAUCAGUGGAAACAUUAGGGGCGGCCAACAUUGGCUGAUUGCCGAAGAAUUGAUGCUGUUGAAUUAUGGUGCUGGAGGAGACUCUUGAGAGUCCCAUGGACUGCAAUAAGAUCAAACCUCUCCAUUCUGAAGGAAAUCAGCCCUGAGUGCUCACUGGAAGGACAGAUCGUGAAGCUGAGGCUCCAAGACUUUGGCCACCUCGUGAGAAGAGAAGACUCCCUGGAAAAGACCCUGAUGUUGGGAAAGAUUGAGGACACGAGGAGAAGGGGAUGACAGAGGACGAGGUGGUCGGACAGUUUUCUCGAACAUGAGUUUGACCAAACUGUGGUAGGCAGUGGAAAACAGGAGUGCCUGGCAUGCUCUGAUCCAUGGGGUCACGAAGAGUCAGACACGACUAAAUGACUAAACAACAACAACAUUGGCUUCCAAGUUCAUUUCUGGGCCAAAUUCAAGGUGCUCACAUUAAAGCCCUAAAUGACUUGAGCCCCAAAUAUCUGAAAGAUUGCCUCCUUAACUACAGACCAUCCCAGGACCACCAGAGUCAGCCCUCUAGGUAGUUCCACCUCACUACGAAUUUUGAGAGCCCAGCAGAGAGCAUUCUCUGAGGCAGAACCCAAGUUGUGGAAUCCCCUCCCUGCAGAGGUGUGUUUGGCUUCUUAACUCUGCAGCUUUUGGCAAAUGCUGAAGAAAUAGCUCUUUAUCCUGGCCUUUGACACCUGAGAUGUGUUUUUUCAGAGUCCACUCUAUUCCUGUUUUAAUUGUAUUUAAAUUGGAAUUUUAAAUUGUUGUAAUCUGCCCUAGGAUCUGAGUUCUGGUGGGUUCUGGCUGGAAAAAAAAACUCUGGACAUAACUUGUAAGGAAACUGCAGCAAUUUAGGUAUAAUAUGCAGCGGGAUAAGGGGAAACAAGGAAACCCUGGAGGGGUGGAUGGGAAGUUUACAUUGGUUAAAAAUAUUGGGGGGAACCAUAUAUGUAAUUAACUUUUGAAAAUCAAAAUAAAAUUGUAAAAAAAAAGAAAACUGUAGCAAUUUACUUGAGUGUAGUUUGUUCUACAAAUGGUGCAUUAUAAAUGUGGAAUGAGAGUAACCUGUCAUGGAUUUCCCCAUGGUUUUCCCCAGGCCUACAGCUCCCUUCAUCCCUGACUACCCAUUCUUCCUGGGGCUGAUGGGAGUUGGAGUCCAACAACAGCUGGGGAAAAGUUGACUACAGCUGAACAUCCUCAUAGUCUACUUUGUGUCCAUCUUCUACUUUUCUUCUCCGCAGAGAAUUCUGACAAGACAUUCAUAGCCUAGGAAAUACGAAAUAACAAUAACAUGGAGAGUAUAUUUUACUCAUUGGUAUGUUUAUUAUACCAUAUUUUACAAACUUCAAAGAGUUUCUUCCUUCAGGAUGUCAGGUCUUCUGUUGCUGCCCAGUUUCCAUGGAAACAUGGAAGUGGUAGCUGUGCCCACAGCUGAAGCAGAACUUUGUUUUCUAAAAAUAUUCUAGGCAAAUCUGUAGAUUCUGUUUAAAAUAUUAAGUACUGAACAUUAAAUUCCUAGCAUUUUUUUUAAACGCAAAAAAUCUCUGAGCUGAGAUGUAAAGACUGUUAGUCUGUUGCAACAACAACAAGAAGAAAUCUGCUAGCAGUUCAAAGACCUACAAAUUAAUUACACUUUCCCUCCCUAGAGAUGUAUAUUUCAUUUCUUUUGUCUCCAAAGUAGGUGGCCGAGGCUGUGCUUUCCUACAAGAGGCCAAGAUGGUCACCACCUCGGGUGACUUUAAAAGAGGAUUAGACAUAUUAUUGAAAGAGAGGGCUAUCAUAAGCUACUAACCAGAAUGGCUACAUUCUACUUCCACUGUUGGAAGGUUCUCAGUGCUAGUUGCUGGGAAUCGCAGGUGGGCAGAGUGCUGUUGUGCUCAGGUCCUGCUUGCUGGCUUCCCAUAGGCAUCUGGUUGACCACUGUGAGAACAGGAUGCCUUACUAAAUGGACCACUGGACUGAUCCAUCAGGACAUUCUUAUGUGUUUCACUUGGUUGUUGUUGUUGCAAGGUGGAGUUCAUUUGGAUUCAUUUUAGUAAAUGCUGCACUUAAUGAACAAGGCUGUUUUACAUGGAUUUUGCCUUUUGGUCCAUCUAGCAGAAUUGAUGCUUUUGAAUUAUGGUGCUGGAGGAGACUCUUGUGAGUCCCAUGGACUGCAAGAAGAUCAAACCUAUCCAUUCUUAAGGAAAUCAGCCCUGAGUGCUCACUGCAAGGGCAGAUCCUGAAGCUGAAGCUCCAAUACUUUGGCCACCUCAUGAGAAGACCCUGAUGUUGGGAAAGAUGGAGGGCACAAGGAGAAGGGGACGACAGAGGUUGGAGAAGGGGACGAGAUGGUUGGACAGUGUUCUCGAAGCUACCAGCAUGAGUCUGACCAAACUGCGGGAGGCAGUGGAAGACAGGAGUGCCUGGCGUGCUCUGGUCCAUGGGGUCAUGAAGAGUUGGACAUGACUAAACGACUAAACAACAACAACAACAAGCAUCACUGCAGUGACUGGGAGAGGGUCUCUUGGUUUUCAGACAUAGGGCAUUCCUAGUCCUACUUGGAGAUGCCCGAGAUUGAACCCAGGAAUUCUGCAUGCAAGACACAGUUUCUCUACCACUGAGCUACGAACCUUCCUGUGACUUUCUACUAUCUACUAGGCUUGUAGAAAGAUAGCAUUAAAAAUGAAGACGAGCCCACUACCCUGUGAAGUAGAGAAGGCAUGUGCAAGAGUGACCUGAGAAUUGGGCUCUUGCGGAUCCUAAAUUACUUAGGUGCUCUUGAUAUUUUUACAUGAAGUCUCAUAAAUUAACUCAUUAAUCAAGCAUUAAUGGCCUAGUCAAGGCAGAUGUUGAAUCCAGCUGCUAAACAUGGUUUUAAUGGGCUUUCUCUCACUUUUUUUACAGAGCCAAUUAAUUCCAGUAUGAUGUUAUACUCUUAAGGGGGGAGAAAUGUAUAGUGUUUGUCAGCCAGGGAAGACAACAGAAGCAAUUUCUGAACAAGUAUUAUUUAAUGACUUAAGGUUAGUUAGAUUGCCCAUUAAUUCUCGCAUUAUUCUCAGAGAACAGGAACGUAAGUCCUUGGAGCCGGCCUACCAGGCAACCCUCAUGCAUAAGCGUGGUUUGUGUAUGAGAUCAUCACAAUUUUGUUACCAACUUACUCUAUGGAAUUCACACUCAUUCCUAAGCAUUCACUGUAAGCUGUUCAACAUAUUCCCAAGUAGUCAUGAGGCUUACUGCCUUGAGCAUGCAAUGUAACAGUUCAUACUGAAAUGCAGUUGUUGACAGCAUGGCGGGGUGGUGGUACUCACCUGAUCUCCUGACAGCAGAGUCACAGCUGCUUACUGGAAGAUAGAGGGGAGAGGUGUUGGGGAGAUUGGCAUGGUGCAAACACACCAGCAGGAACACUGAAUUGGCUCCGCUGGUGUGUUUGAGCCACAUCAACCUCACCACUGCCUCACCCCUUCUCCUCUCUCUCCUGAUUAGCAGAAGCAGCAACUCAGAUGUUGGGAGGUCAGGGAAGUGCGGAUGCCCCACUAUGUUGUUCGCUGAAGCUGAAAUGCCUUUACUUUCCCUCAGGCUUCUUACAUAUGCUUUGUCUGCUCUGAAGAACUCUGUCCAGAAAUUAAUAGGCCUUAUAAGGACUAGAGAACAUGGUGAAGAACUUAUGGUGAGUAAAUGGCUUUCAGUAACUUUGUAAUUCCAAAUAUUCCACAAAGGCAUAUAACAUUUGGGUCAAAUAACACGGUGCAGAGAGCUCACUUUAAAGCAAACAUUGUUUCAUAGCUUAGUUGAUCGCUCCACUGUUGGGAUUCUGUUACUUGAUGAACCAGUGUUGUUGUUGUUGCUGCUGUUUUUAAAAACUAAACCAAUGGUUUUAUUUGCAAGUUUUGUUAAAAAUAAUAAAAGGUAAAGGUAAAGGGACCCCUGACCAUUAGGUCCAGUCAUGACCGACUCGGGUUGCAGCGCUCAUCUCGAUUAUUGGCCGAGGGAGCCGGCGUACAGCUUCCGGUCAUGUGGCCAGCAUGACUAAGCCGCUUCUGGCAAACCAGAGCAGCACACGGAAACGCCGUUUACCUUCCCACCGGUGCGGUACCUAUUUAUCUACUCGCACUUUGACAUGCUUUUGAACUGCUAGAUUGGCAGGAGCAGCGACCGAACAACGGGAGCUCACCCUGUCACAGGGAUUCGAACCACCAACCUUCUGAUCAGCAAGUCCUAGGCUCUGUGGGUUAACCCACAGUGCCACCCGCGUCCCUUGUUAAAAAUAAUAAUUACCAGCAAAAUGCUUGUUUCCUCCUCCCUUCUGGCGUAGCUAAAUAUGCAAUAUGGUGCCCACAUCCACAUUUUUGUUUGUGUGCUGUGAAGUGUUAGGGAGAAUUACAGCUCAGUGGUAAGGGACAUGCUUUGAAUGUAAAAGUCCCAAGUUCAAUGCCUGGCAUCUCCAGAUAGGGCUAGGGGAAAAAAAAAAAACCAUAAGCCUGAAACCCUGGAGAACUUGCUGCCAAUCCUGAUUUGUUUGCAAGGUUUUUAUACACCAUCCAGUUAAUCCCACAUUUUUUCCAGUGCAUUUCCCUAGCACUUUGCUAACCACAAAAGGUCUGGUUUGGUUGUUGCGGUUGUUUUAAAAAAGUGGUGUGUUGCGCUACGGCAGUGGUUCCCAAAGGGUGUGGCAUACCACACUGAUGUGGCAGGAGAGGAUGGCAAGUGUGGCGGGAAUAAUCAAGACCAAUCAAUAUGAUAUUUUGGGAAUCAUUCAUGUCUUUAUAUACCUGCAUUGUUUAAUACUUUCUGGAUGUCCCAUGAUCAUGUUAUAAAUGUAGUUGUGUUCUGUUAGCAGUUUGUUUUUGUAUUUCUCGUCCAUAAAAAAGUUCAGUGUGGCGUGCACAAAUUUUUAUUCUGAAAGUGUGACCCAGAGAAAAAAGUUUGAGAACCUCCGUGCUAGGGUAACUAAGCCCUUUGAUUCACAUUGUUAUUAUUUAACCACCCUUCACCCACAAAGUCCCGAGGUGUGUUGUACCGAUUUAAAAUGCAGUGUUAAAACAGCUAAAGCGAAUUACAAUCACAAGGAUAUGUUGAGUCUUAAAAAUAUACAUCUCCACUGCCAAAGGCCAGGGUAAAGAGGUACAUCUUUAGCAUAUGACAAGAAUUGCAUAGUUACUGUCAGGGCUGCCUCAAGUCUCAGCUCACAAAAGACCAACGCCAAUGUCUUCUUAUAUACAAAAGUGUUUAUUGCAGUUCAUUGUUUGCUCGACAUCCUAGGCGCGCAGCCCUACGUCUGCUACGCUUAGACCGCUGAAGUCCCCUCUGAAUCCGUCCCUCCCCUACACCAGUUUAAGAUGCUUGUGCUGCUCCACCUCUUUCUCUCUUUCCUUUUCCGCAGGGUCCUUCUGCCCGCUGGGGUUUCGCCCCUCCUGGAUUCCUCUGACGCGGAAUCAGACUGCUCUUGCCCCUGCUGCGGGCUUUAGGACCUGGCCCCUCCUCCGGGCUCCCUGUACUUCCGCGCGCCUCUACAUUUGAACGUGGCGCGCGCGCCCAGCCUCUAACCUUCCUUUCAACAGCUACACUACUCCCUUCACUGCUCCCCUCCCCUUCCGGGAGGAUGGCUUGCUCCGACCUCCCUCCUUUCUCUGCUGCCGGAGCCUCUUCCCCUGAGGAAGCACUCUGGCGGGGAGGCUGGUCCUGACACCCAGCUGCCGCUUUGGGAUGCCCAGCUGGCCCCCUGCUCCUGACACGUCCCCCCUGGGGCUCCCCUGGGCUUGACCACCGGCGCCCCCUUCUGGGAAUCCUCUGAUUCGCUGGAAAGACUCAUGGAAUCUCUUGAGUCAUUGUCUUCCUCUUCCUCGCUGUCCUGGGAUUCAUCCCCAUCGCUCUCCAUCUCCUGCCUACCCUGUGCCUCUGCCCCUGAACCCCUGACAGUUACAUACCCUCCAACAUUUAUCCAAUGAAAAUAGGGGUGUUAAUAAUAAUAAUAAUAAUGAUACCCCACCCAUCUUCCAACAUAUAUAAAAACAUAAUAAAACAUUAAACUUUUUUUUAAAAAAAAAAUGUAUUCAGGUGUCUUCAGAAGGUUGUAUAGUUACUUAUCUCUUUGGGUUGCACAACUCCAUAUCCUUUGAUGGAAAUAGGGACGUCCUUCCAUACCCUCCAACAUUUCUCCAAUGAAAAUAGGGACGUCCUUGGGGAGACUGAAGGUACAUUCUUUCACCUUUGUUGGACAUGCCCAAAGAUUAAGGCAUUCUGGGAGAUGAUUUAUAAUGAAAUGAAAAAGGUAUUUAAAUAUACCUUUCUGAAGAAACCAGAGGCCUUUCUCCUGGGUAUGGUCGGCCAAUUGGUGCCAAAGAAGGAUAGAACUUUUUUCAUGUAUGCCACAACAGCAGCAAGAAUACUCAUCGCAAAGCACUGGAAGACACAAGAUCUACCCACUAGGGAAGAAUGGCAGAUGAAGCUGAUGGACUACAUGGAACUGGCGGAAAUGACUGGCAGAAUUCGAGACCAGGGAGAAGAGUUGGUGGAAGAGGAUUGGAAAAAAUUUAAAGUAUAUCUACAAAAAUAUAGCAAAAUUAGUGAAUGUUAGAAGGAUGUUGCAAUGAAGUUACAUGGUUUUAGCAGAAAUGUUAUUAAGAACUAUGUAAAAAUGGGCUGUUAAUGGGUCAAAGGGUAAAAUUUAAGGUCAGAUCGGGUUAAGGUAAUUUAUAGAACAAAAAUUGAGAAAGAGGGAAAGGAUUUCUUGAAACAGCUAAAUUGAAUUAGAAUACAAAAAAGGGAGGUGCGAGGAGGUCGAUGAAACAAGUAAAUGAAAGAUAAGGAUAUGGAAAUACUGGAUGUGUUUUCUUAAAUGUUUUUGUUUUUAAAUGUUUUUGUUUUUUUCCCCUAAUUGUUGUGCUGUAUUGUUUUUUUUUUGUUUUUUAUAGUUUUUUGAUGUAUUGUAUUGUAACUUUUUAAUCUCUCUUUUUUUUCUUUUUUUUCUGUAAUUGUUAAACUUUUAAUAAAUAUCAUUUAUAAAAAAAAAAUGAAAAUAGGGACGUCCUAAGGAAAAGCGGGAUCAAAUCAGAAACUGGGGCGACUUCUGUAAAUUCUGGACUAUCCCUGGAAAGUAGGGACACUUGAAAGGUCCGUAGCUAUUCUGCCAGAUGCUCCUCUCCUGCGCUACCACUGUCUAACCUUCUGAGGGUGCUAUGAUUACAAGGAGAGUCCCCUAUACUGGUAUUAAUACCUAAGUUCUGUAGUGAGAAAGGUGGUCUUUCAGAUAUUGGAGGCCUACAUUGUUUUACUGUGCAAACCUCCGGCAUGAGCUUUGAUCCAUCCUGCAGAAUAGUGAGCGCCGAAGGCAACCAUAGUAAACAGAUGACAGCAACAGAUAGCAAGCAGAGAAAGCUGAACGGGAUUGUGGCCUUUCACUUAUGCAAGCUGGACAAUUUUGUGAGGAUAGAACUCAUUCAGGAGCCUGUGGGACUUUGGGCGGACAGAGCAACUUAAUUAGGUAUUCAUAUUAAGGCAACAAUGGAUGAAAAUAAAAUGGAAAGAAUUACACUUUUCUCCCUAUGGAGCAGUCUAGUAAAACCGUUGAAUUGUAUAGGUCUUUGAUUAGCCUUAAUGGCCCAUUACUGGCUCGGGAAGGGAGGCAUAAUCGCAAAUACACUGAACUGAACAGGUCUGAUCAAAGGGCAAGAACACAGCAAAAGAUUGUUAAAUGAAUCUGCAUUUACAUUUCUGAUGCGGAAGAUCAAAGGCAAAGGCAAAGAUUACGGGAACCUGUCAGGCUUGCAGGCUUUCGGGCUGAAAUAAGCCAAACAGAGCAGGCCAAAAGCUCCGCUACAGCUCCACAGAGCUGAGCUGCAGACAUUAAUAGCAGCCUAAUUAUAAGUCCAUUUUCACCACAUGGGCAUAUUCAAACGAAAUGUGCUUGCUGUAUGAAAUGGGCUUGGACCAAGUUGCCUGACGGUGGUUCUUUCCUUUGGCUUCUGAUGUGAGAAUCAGGCCUGUUGUGCAUUGCAGAGGGCAUGGAGCAGAAGAUUCUUGGGGUCCCGUCCAACCCUACAGUUCUAAGUGAGAGGAAUAGCAUGUGAAUGGCUUGUGGGUGUCAGUGUGUCACUGUGGCUUUUGCCCUCCUAGGUGUGUGACAUCAUACUGGGCUCAUAAGGAAAGGGUUAACUAAUUGUAAAAUGACUAACCUAUAGGAACCCAAGGGGAGAAGUAAGAGUUAGAGUUAGAGUUGUUAAGAAGUCAGUCUGGAGUUAGAGAAGAGAGAGGAAGGAUAAGUCUGUGGGUUGGGCUAGUCUGAUGUGAGAGAGUGAGAGAAUCUGUUAAGAGGAGUCAGUCAAACAGUUGAGAUAAUCAGUCAGAAGGUAUUAGGAAGGUAUAGGCCGGUAAAGAAACUAAGGUUAAGAAACUGACAAGAAAAUUAUCUGAGAAACCAUUAACUUGUUAAUGCUUAUAAAAUAAACUUGUUUAUUUGGUUUAAUUUUAACAACUGUCUGGACUCAGUGUGUACCCGAGAGUAACGGGUUGGUGGCAGCGGGGAAGCAAGCACAGUGGUGGCACAGGGAUCAACAGACCGCCAAACGUCCGGGGACCACAACCCAUGAGGGAUUGUUUUAUCUUCCUAUUCACUUGCUAUUUUCACUAGCCUAACCACUCCUCACUCAACAUACUCACAUUUCCCCCUCUUUUGCUCUCAGGAUUGGAGAAGGACAGGGGUGGAGCAAGGGGGUGCAGUAGGGGCGGGUAGCCCCGGGUGUCACCACUGGGGGGUGACAAAAUGCCAGGGGGCACUCACCCCAGGGCCUGCAGCACGCUCAAGCCACGCGCCUCUCCUGGGAGUGACGCGGUGGCUUGGGCACAUACAGUCUCCACGCUGCCCCAAACAGUCUGCCCCCUGCCUCCCCCUCAGCUGUAAGGCGGCUGAGUGGAAGGAGGCAGGCAGACUCCUUAGAGGCCCUGUGGAACAUUCUGCGCUGGCUCGCUCCACCCCACCCCCGGACUGGUGCUCGAUCAGCUUGCUGUGCCACUGGAGAAGGGAACUCCAGUGGGAAAUUGGAGAGGGGUGUCACUACUGAAGAAACCCUGUCCCAUGUGCCCACAAGUUUAAUAAUGGACCCAUAAGCAGGGCCUCUGAAGCUGAUCACAAGGUCUGGGAACUUUGUAUUGGUGCGAGUCAACUUUCAAGUACAGUGGUACCUCAGGUUACAUACGCUUCAGGUUACAGUCUCCGCUAACCCAGAAAUAGUGCUUCAGGUUAAGAACUUUGCUUCAGGAUGAGAACAGAAAUCGUGCUCCGGCGGCACGGCGGCAGCAGGAGGCCCCAUUGGCUAAAGUGGUGCUUCAGGUUAAGAACAGUUUCAGGUUAAGAACGGACCUCCAGAACGAAUUAAGUAUUUAACCCGAGGUACCACUGUAACUGGCGUGCUCUGGUCCAUGGGGUCACAAAGAGUCGGACACGACUAAACGACUAAACAGCAACAACAACCACUGUAACUUGGUCCCAAGUCAUCAAGGGCUUUAAAAGUCAUAACCAAUAGUUUCAAUCGUGCAUGGGAAUGAACUGGCAACCAGUGUGACUGAUACAAUAUUGGAGCAACGUGCUCUGAGUGCCUCUCCGCAACUUCCGCAUGAGCAGCCGCAUUUUUCAAGAGCUGAAGGUUCCAAACCAUCUUCAAAGGCAUUCUCGCCCAGAACACAUUGCCAUAGUCUCUUUAGGUUGUCACUAGCGCCUGGGUAGCUGUUCAAAGAUCCAGUGCAGCAAGACUGGGCCACAGCUGUGUGCUGGUGGAAGCUUUUAAAAGGCACUGCAGCUGCAUUUUAGCAGCUGCAUCAUGCUUAAUUGAAAUCUACAGCCCUUUCCCUGGCAGUGUAAUGAUGACUUUAGGGGUUGCCCACCUAGUUGGUUUCAAGCCGUUCUACUUUUGAAGCAGUAGGGGAAAAAAGGAGAGGUGAUCAUUCAAUGCUAAGAGGAUUUUGUUGAGUAGAAAAAAAGACUGUUAAUGCACAUGUUGCUUUCAAAGAAAAAAGAAAAGAAGGAGUCGAUGUCAAAGUGAGGCUAGAUCAUUUACUGCAAGAUUAAAGUGGUUACCAUAGGACCUGCUCCUAUUAUAUGUCAGGGUUCAGGCAUACUCGCCUUUAUCGCUUCUGACUACACUCCUCACAAUAAGACGUGGGAGGUCAGAGUGUGUUUGCCAUCCUUUGAAUCAGAAUGUUUCAUUACUCUGGCCCAUUCUGUGCCAAAGUGUGGAAAUGGAUUUACCUUAAUGCUAAGCACGCCAGGGGUGCAAUUCAUCUUUCAGCCGAUGUCAGCAGCAAGAACCCUGUCGGUCCGAGAGCUGGCUCUCAUGUUCGACUCUUAAUGUAUAGGUCGCUGGUUCAAGUAGCUACUAUAGAGGUGCGCUGCUCAAGCUGCAGACUUCCUCUUCAGAGUUCUGCUGCCCACUCACCACCAUCAUGGCAACCUCUUCUUUGCUUCAUAGAUGGAACAAGAAUGUUGCGAUUUCCUUGACUGCUUGCUUUCCUUGCUCUUUCUAGCUUCAGACACCCUUGCCUGUACAGUGGUACCUCAGGUUACAUACGCUUCAGGUUACAGACUCCACUAACCCAGAAAUAGUGCUUCAGGUUAAGAAAUUUGGUUCAGGAUGAGAACAGAAAUUGUGCUCCGGCGGCACUGCAGCAGCAGGAGACCCCAUUAGCUAAAGUGGUGCUUCAGGUUAAGAACAGUUUCAGGUUAAGAGCGGACCUCUGGAACAAAUUAAGUUCUUAACCCAGGGGAACCACUGUAGUUGCAAAAUGUGUGAGGGAGAGCAGGAACAAGCAGCUGGUACCUUAGCCAUCAUUCUCUUUAAAAACAAAACAUAUUAUCUUAAAACAUAUCAUCCUUAAUUCCCCACCAUUUCCCCCUCCCCCUCCCAUAAAACAACCCCCCUUCCCCUCCCCCCUGACUUCCCUCAGUUCCAAUAUCUGGUUUCUCUAUACAGUGUUACCUCGGGUUACAGAUGCUUCAGGUUACAGACGCUUCAGGUUACAGACUCCGCUAACCCAGAAAUAGUACCUUGAGUUAAGAACUUUGCUUCAGGAUGAGAACAGAAAUCGUGCUCCGGCGGCGCGGUGGCAGCAGGAGGCCCCAUUAGCUAAAGUGGUGCUUCAGGUUAAGAACAGUUUCAGGUUAAGAAGAGACCUCUGGAACGAAUUAAGUACUUAACCCGAGGUACCACUGUAAAUGCUAUUCUCUGCAUUUUACAAAAUUGUAUAAAUCCUUAAUUUAGCUAACUGGUUAUUAUCAAUAAAAAGUUUGUGAGUGUUUAUUCAAAGCCUGCCAAGGAGUCCAGUUCACUUGGUUGCAUCUUUAAAUACUUUGUAAAGGGUUCCCAUUCAUCUUUAAACUACUUGUCCUGUAGUUUAUGUGUCAAUUUUGCCAAUUCUGUAUAGUCCAUCAGUUUCUCCUGCCAUAGUUCUUUAGUCAGGAUUUCCUCACUCUUCCAUCUUCGCUGUCAUUCUCAACAGUUGUUGUUGUUGUUCAUGGAAUCAGAGAAUUGUAGAGUGGAAGGAAGCCAAGGGCCAUCUAGUCCAACCCCUGCAAUGCUUGACAGAUGGCCAGCCAACUUCUGCUUAAAAACCUCCAAGGAAGGAAGGAAAGUCCACAAUCUCCCGAGGGAGUCCGCUCCACUGUCAAGCAGUUCAUACUGCCAGAAAGUUUGUCUGUGUGUUUAGUCGGAAUCUCCUUUCUUGUAAGUUGAAGCCAUUGGUUCGAGUCCUACCUUCCAGAGCAGGAGAAAACAAGCUUGUUCCCUCUUCCAUGUGACCGCCUUUAAUAUAUUUGAAGAUGUUGUUGUUGUUGUUGCUGCUGCUAUAAUUUAUAUCCCACAUUGUCCCUAGAAUGGGACUCAAGGCAGCUUGUGCAAAUGGAAGUAAACCAGAUAAAAUACAAAAAGCUAAAAGCAUGUAAAAAGUAAUAGCUAAAAAGUAAUUAAUAGAAUUAAAACCAUAGGAAUUGAACAAUAUAAUAGAAUUAAAAUGAUAUAAAUAUAAAUCUAUUAAAAUACAGACAGUAAAACAGCAGAGUGAUAUUAAAAACCCUUUUCUUGAAAAACAGUCAGUUCCCAAAGACCUGUCUGAAUACAGCAGUCUUCACCUGCCAGCAAAAGGACAACAAAGAAGGAGUCAGUUGAGCUUCUCUAGGGAGGGAGUUCUAAAGUGCAGGAGCCAGCCACUGAGAAGGCCCUCUCCGGCAUAUCCAUCAAGCAUUCCUGUGAGGGUGGCAGGACUGAGAGAAGGAUCUCUCCCAAAGCUCGGGGAGAUUUGUAUGGGAGAAUGCAGUACUCAGAAAUCCCCUAAAUUAAUUCAUAUUGGGAAGAGUUGGGUGGUAGGAGUUUGUGGUAAGGAGUUCAGAAUGCCAGUUCACUGUAGUCUUAUUCAGUUCAUGUUCUAUCAAAAUGUGAGAAGGGAGCAGAGCUAUGUUGAUUUGCCCCAUCAUGCACUUUCUAGCCCCCACCUCCCCCUAACCUGGGCAUAAAAAAGGUAAAGGGACCCCUGACUGUAAGGUCCAGUCGCAAACGACUCUGGGGUUGCGGUGCUCAUCUCGCUUUAUUGGCCGAGGGAGCCAGCAUACAGCUUCCAGGUCAUGUGGCCAGCAUGACUAACCAGAGCAGCAUGUUAUUGUUGUUGUUUAGUCGUUUAGUCAUGUCCGACUCUUCGUGACCCCAUGGACCAGAGCACGCCAGGCACUUCUGUCUUCCACUGUCUCCCGCAGUUUGGUCAGACUCAUGUUUGUAGCUUCCAGCAGAGCAGCAUAGGAUGUGGUUAUUUUCAGGUAUGGAGUCUCCAACCCUGGCAAUAAUGUUGGUCAUGUGAGUUGGCCCUGAGGUCACUAACAUGGGGAGAAUAUUUUAAUCAUAGGAUUGCAGAUUUGGAAGAGACCACAAGGGUCAUCUAUUCCAAACCCCUGCAAUGCAGGAAACUUCUGCCCAACUUGGGGCUCAAACCCACAACCCUGAGAUCAAGAGUGUCAUGUUCUUACCAACUGCAAAUAUCUGCAUAGGUACUUUGUAAAGCAGGGAUGGAGAACCUCAGGCCCAGGGUAUUUAUCUGGCCCUCAGAACUCUCCAUAGGCCACACCUACUCUUCACAGGCCACAUCCCUCUCUGGCCAUGUCUCAAAAAUAUUUUUUUGCCUGGCUGGAAUGUGUCAUUGAACUCUAUUCUCUCUUGCUAGUCAAGAAGGAAGGUGGAGAGGUGUGCAUGUGCCUGUAUACAGGGCCGUCUUACCCAUAGGCACUAGGGGUGUGGGGCACCCGGGUGCCAGGCUCUCAGGGGUGCCAGGCUGAGAGUCCGGGACCCAAGAGAUGAGUCUGGGCAAGAGCCCACCCAUCGGUCGGAGCACUGUGGCGGGCUCUUCUGCUGCGGGUGGCUCUGUGCUGUGAGUUCGGGGGUGACUGAGCCAGUGAGAUGCUGAGGCGGCCAGCUGGCUCCGCCCUCCUGCAUGCCUGGGACUGGCCAAGCUGGGGGUGGGCGGGCGGAUCUUUGCACCCCGGUGCCACAUAUGCUUAAGACAGCCCUGCAUGCAUAGAAACUAGUCUUCUGUACACCCAUUGCUCCAUCCAUAUCUGCCUUUGGCUGGCCCCACUGACAUGUGUCCCUCAGAAUGCUGCCCAGAUGGAAAUGUGGUCCUUAGGCUGAGGGGGGGGGGAACCCCAGUCCAUUAUAGAGUAUUUGCAUAGUUGAGGUUGUGCCAGAGAUGAGUCUAUUCAGUGGCUGUUUGUGGAUUCUCUCCUAAAUUGGUGUGGGGGGAUAUGAUUUCACAUAUUUGGCAAUCAUUGCAUUAUAAUGGUACAGAUUGUCUCAUAGCAAACACCGACCAGCUAUCAGAAGCAUAGUUUGAGGAAUAACUUUGUUCUGCCGCUGACAAGUUUCAGAUGAGGAAAGCGCACUAUUACUGUAAUGUGCCUCUCCUGAUGUGUGUCAGCAGUGAGUCAAAACAGCUUUGCAGAUUAUGUUGCUAACAUGAUGAGAGGAGUCUUGAGUCACUGUGUGACCAGCGUUUGCUUUGCCAGGAGCAGCACAAGUUGCUUUGAUGCGGGUUGCCGGUGGGAUAUGUAAAACACAUAUAGGGCACUUCAGAUUCUCUGUAAGAAGGUUUCUCUUCUUGGACAGCUGGCUUUUGCUCUGACACAGGGCAGACGCACUUAAACAGCUUUCUUGGGAGAUGGAAAUGGAGUUACAAAAAUGGCUUGUCGCAGAGAGGAGCCGCUGAGAGUGUGAAGCGCAGAAGAGAUAAAUAGGGUGAGUUGGAGGAAGAAGUAUUUUGGAUGUAAAAGCAGCAGAAGAAGGAAAGUCUUUUAAGAGGGCAGGAUAACUGCAUAACCCCUAAUGGACUGAUUUUUGCAGAGCCAGAGAAGGCUGUAUUGCCAUCUCUUGGCAGAAGCAGAGAACUGCUGGAUUUGGCUGGGAUUAGUGAUUUGCACAUGGCCCCAGGAGUCUGUUUGCUUGUUGGGAUUGCCAUAGGUAAAAAGCUAAAGGACCCCUGCACGGUUAAGUCCAGUCAAAGGCGACUAUGGGGUUGCAGUGAUCAUCUCACUUUCAGGCCGAGGGAGCCGGCGUUUGUCCACAGACAGCUUUCCAGGCCAUGUGGGCAACAUGACUAAACCACUUCUGGUACAAUGGGGCACUGUGACGGAAGCCAGAGUGCACGGAAACACCAUUUACCUUCCCGCCACAGCGGUACCUAUUUAUCUACUUGCACUGGCGUGCUUUUGAACUGCUAGGUUGGCAGGAGCUGGACAGAGCAACGGGAGUUCACCCCAUCACACAGAUUUGAACUGCUGACCUACAGAUCAGCAAGCCCAAGAGGCUCAGUGGUUUGGACCACAGCGCCACCCAUUCCUGCGAUUGCCACAGCAGUCGAAGGACAGCCUACUACAGACUGCCUGAACUGUCAAGCAACAGAAGGAAUCCUUGAUCUGGGUUCAUUUUGGUCUAAGAAAACAUGGCUGAUUGCCUAACCUCAUUCAGGCUACAAUCCUGAACUGGUGUCUGCCCAGAUUUUACUGAACUCCCAACUCAUCUUGCAGUCCCACAAUGACUUUUGAUGCUAAAAGCAGGUCCUUAGGCUUAACUCUGCUCAAAUAUAAUGCCUGAAGCCUGUUGAUUGCUGUAGGCUGCGCCAUAAAUAGAUAUAAAAAUGCAUCCACCUUGAAUCAGAACUGGAAUUAUUUCUUUAUAUGGUAGAAGAUGAACUUUAAUCAACAUUUUGUACCCUCUAAUGGUUUAAUAACCCACUGAACUUUAAAAGAAAUGCAAGUAAGUAAAAUAGUUUUGCUGGUGGACUCAUUUCCUGAAACAACUUGCAGCCUACAGCACAUUUUGAGUGGCUUAGUUAUAAACCUCAAGAGACACUGAUCCAGUCUUAACUACUCAGUACAAACUGUGCCACGCUCUAAUAAGUGCAAAGGUAUGUUGUAGUACACUGUUUCCAUUUGCUACUCCUUUUGCAGCUUUCUCAGUUGGUAGCAACUUUUUCUUUCUGUGCCUUCCCAGUCCCGGGAAAACAACUAUGGAAAAAGAAGGAACUGCUAGGAUGCUACUUAUUAUCCAGAUUUGAAAACUGGCCUUUUAGGGUCACUCAAAAGCAUUGUUCAUGUUGACUUUCAUUAGUUGCACACUAAUCUCUUUCAGUGAUUGGGGUGGCAGGGGGAAGUAAAACACUGUCUUUGAAUUUGUGCAUGUGAAAUGACAUAAUUAUAGUUUUAUAAUUAUAGUGAUUAUAGAGCCAAGGGGGGAGAAAUGAUUUUUGUCUACUACAUUUUUUUCUUAAUGAUCUCUGAGUACAACAAUAAUAAAAAGAGAGCGUGAUUUCUUGCAUCUUGGGGAACAUGAGAAGUGAUGCAUUUUCGCCCAUUUCAAAUAUUUAUCAGUCUUUCCUAGACAUGUUGUAUAUAAAAGUAAUGAAUAAAACACAACGGGAACAGCAAAAGGACCAUGUUUUAAUGCAUUACACAUGAACGCUCACAGUUGCAGGAAGAAAUAACUGGCCCUUGCAUUAUUUAAGGAGAUUUUUUUUCCCCUUUCCCAGGGAUGGAUCGUGUUGGAUUUACUCCAUUUAUGAGUCAACUUCCUGUGGCCGGGAGCUAUUCUACAACUGCUUUAAGAUGAGAUUCUCUUUGGCUUUGGAGUAGAAAGCUGUAUUUUUAAUAGCCAAUGAGAAAGCAGGUUUAUAUUCAAAACAAGAUGCAGCCAGGUAAAGCUGAGUGCUAGAAUUGAGGUCAGCUAGAAUUAUAUUGUAUAUAGACACUCUGGUGAUAAACAUGUAGCACAGGGCUGUAGGCUCAGCAAUAUAGCACACACAAGCCUACAGCCCCAGGUCCCAUUCCUCACAUAUCCAGUUAAAAGGAUCAGGUAGAUGAUGGGAAAGACUGUUGCCUGAGAUCAUUGUUACUUGCUGCCAGUCAGCCAGCUGCUGCUGAGAAGACCCAUUCUAUGUACAGUGGUACCUCGGGUUACAUACGCUUCAGGUUACAGACUCCGCUAACCCAGAAAUAGUGCUUCAGGUUAAGAACUUUGCUUCAGGAUGAGAACAGAAAUCGUGCUCUGGCGGCGCAGCAGCAGCAGGAGGCCCCAUUAGCUAAAGUGGUGCUUCAGGUUAAGAACAGUUUCAGGUUAAGUACGGACCUCCGGAACGAAUUAAGUACCUAACCUGAGGUACCACUGUAUAGCCCUUACUUACCUUCAGUGUCUUAGAAUUCUAAUGGGAGCCCUUCUUUGCAGUUUCAAGAACCCGGGUACAGGUUUACCAUUUCAGUGAGAGCUAGACCUGGGGCCUAAUGCUACCAUUCUAGACCCGAGACUUUAUUGCCUAUUCCUCACUCUGCAGUGGAGAAUGGAAUGGGUUUGAUUGGAGAACACUCUAACACUCCUUUGGAACAUAAUAGAUUCUCAGUUUAGCUGACUACUGGGCAUGCAACACCCCUUGAUCUGCAUUUGGUCCCUUACCUUUCUCGCCCUGAUCUGGCCACAGUGAUCCAUGCGACGGUCACUACCAGGCUUGAUUAUUGUAACUCGCUCUAUGCGGGGCUGGCCUUCAAGCUGACCCAGAAACUCCAGCGGGUGCAGAAUACCGUGGCGAGGCUCCUUACGGAGUCCUUGCCACGGGAUCACAUUCAUCCAGUGCCUUACCAAUUGCACUGGCUCCCGGUGGAGAACAGGGUCAGGUUUAAGGUGCUGGCUUUGACCUUUAAAGCCCUAUGUGGCCUAGGACCCACGUACCUACGGGACCACCUCUCCUGGUAUGCCCCACGGAGGAUCUUAAGGUCCACAAAUGACAACACAUUGGAGGUCCUAAAUCGCAAGGUGGUUAGAUUGGUUUCAACUAGGGCCAGGGCCUUUUCAGUACUGGCCCCGACUUGGUCACAAGCUCUGUCACAAGAGACUAGGGCCCUGUGGGACUUGACAUCUUUUGGAAGGGCCUGCAAGACAGAGCUGUUCCGCCUGGCCUUUGGUUUGGACUCAGUCUGACCCUUAUGUUUCCCUCCCCUUAUGGUUUUGAUCUAUGGGCUACUUUUAAAACGAGGCUGCAUUUUAAAUUAUAUUUUAACCCGUAUUUUAAAUUGGUUCCCCCUCCCCUAUUAUAUUUUUAUUGUAAUUUUACUGGUGUUAGCAGCCAUGAGCCCGGGGAGGGCGGGGUAUAAAUAAAAUUUAUUAUUAUUAUUAUUUUAUUGGGUUAAGCUGCCAUACUCUGGCGGGCGGCAAAGUGAUUGACAAGACAUUAUGGGCUGUAAGUGUAAUACUUUUGCAAAGUGCUUCUUCUUCUUUCUUUUUCUGUCACCACACCAGUGGAUGCAACACAAUUGCAACAGGUUUCCACUUCCUGUCUUCCCUACUGCAUCUUCCUGAACGCCCCCAAUCUGAUCCAGAAGGAAGAAAGACAAAGUCCCAUGUGUGCAACUGGAAGUCUGUUGUUCAAGGGGGAUGUCGAUAUGCAAUAUCACCCUUGGCGCUUGCACCGAUGGUGUUAAUACUCUCAUUCCUUCAUGUAGCUGUUUGAUCCUGCAGCUGCAAAUAGUGGCCGAGUUUCGCAGGAUGGCUGGAAGCUUUUGGUUCCUCUCGGUAUUUAUGGACAACUUCUCUCUGGGCACAAAUCAAAGAUUAGUCAUUGUCGGUGCUUAUCAGCCAUUCUACAAGCUUAUCUACAAUUCUGCCAGUUAGACUUGGAAGAAUUCUGUUUCUCUCUCCUUCCCGUAACAUUUGAGAAGACCCUAUUUUGUGUAGUUCUGCCAUUUCCAUCAUGUAAGAAUCUAAAUUUAGUGAAGAUUUACGGUAAAGAAAAAGAAGGAAUUUCAGCUUCUGAAUCCCAGAACAGGCUUCUGCCAUUAAAUCAGCGAUUAUUUACAUUAUGUCGCAGUAAAAGAAAGUUGUUAUGCACUCUGUCCCAGCUCAAUUUUCACUAUUACAGCUUUUCUUUUUCCAUACGCAAAUGCAAAUAUAAUGAUCCCACACUAGCAAUUAAGCUUACCACUUCAACCAAGUACACAUCUUCUCUGUAAAGUGAAAACUGGGUUUACAUAUUCACUGCUACCAAAGAAAAGGGGGAGAUACAAAACUUUCACCCAUCCAUCUUAAAUAACUUUUUUUAAAAAAAGUGUGUGAAUCUGUAUCUACCGCAAGCUCAUAUAUUAUGUAUAGCAGCUGUGCUUUGAUCAUGAUGAAGGGAGGGCUAUAAAAACUUUGAAAUAGGAAAAUAAAUGCUUUGGUGGUAUUUGAAUCUUCCUCCAAUUAUUUGGCAGUAUUAUCUUCUACAUGGUAUACAAAUGGUACCCACGUACGUUUUCCCGAUUUUAUGUGUCCUUCCACCAAUUUUAUUUUAGAUGCCGGGUGGCGCUGUAGGUUAAACCACAGAGCCUAGGACUUGCCGAUCAGAAGGUCGGCGGUUCGAAUCCCCGUGACAGGGUGAGCUCCCAUUGCUCGGUCCCUGCUCCUGCCAACCUAGCACUUUGAAAGCACGCCAAAGUGCAAGUAGAUAAAUAGGUAUCGCUCUGGCGGGAAGGUAAACAGCGUUUCUGUGCACUGCUCUGGUUCACCAGAAGCGGCUUAGUCAUGCUGGCCACAUGACCCGGAAGCUGUAUGCUGGCUCCCUCGGCCAAUAAAGCGAGAUGAGCGCCGCAACCCCAGAGUCGUCCACGACUGGACCUAAUUGUCAGGGGUCCCUUUACCUUUACCUUACUGCCAGAGGCAGCAGGCUUCUGAAUGCUGUUUGCUGGGAAUUGAGUGGGGAAAAGAUUGCUACACUCAGGUCCUACUUGUGAACUUUUCAGGGAUAUCUGGUCAGCUGCUGUAUGAACAGGAUGCUGAAUGCUGGAUUAAUAAUGCUGGAUUUGAUUAGAGUUUAUCCAUACUUACCUUUCCUCCUGUUUUUCCAGGCAUGGCCUGUGCUUUAAAGCUCUGUGUCAGAACACCUUUUUGUUUUGUUUUGUUUUGUUCCAGAGCUCUCCCCAUGAAAACCUGCUCCUUAAAGCUCAAUCGGAGGAAACAGCAAUCUGUGUAAAACCUGAAUUGAUAUUUGCCCCGACUGAGCACUAAAGAGCAGAAAUUCCACUCAGAUUUCCAUACAAUAAUAAUCUGGUGGUCAUGCUGCUAAAUACUUUGACCUCCCGCCACGCACACCGGAGGUAAGUGAGGAAGCAUCACAGUUGUGACCUAUAGCAGUAUGGAUUUGGAUGUUUUCUGUCUUAAUAAUGUUGCAUUAUUAUUAUUUAUUAACAACUGAACUUAGCCAACUGUAUCUUUUUAAAAAAGCAACAGUUUAAACAUUCUUUAUUCUGUAAGCAAAAAAAAAAAGAAGCCACAUUUUCUUUGGAUAAUUUUAAAUUGGGCAUUUAGUAAACAGCUCAGUCAUCUGCUUGAGCCGCUCACAAUACCAUGUUUGUUUCUUUCCCUUUCAGAACUGUAGGUCUUUGGUUCUUUCAUAAGAGCUGUUUGCCAAGUGGCCUGAAGCCAUGGAGAAAUUACUUUUCUGUGAAAGCUGCACCUUUGCAAAUAGCAUGUGAAAUUACUAAGAUGUAUUUAGUUAAAACAAGAGCAGCAACAGCAAAAAGUGACGGGAAUAAAUGAGAAGGGAAAGAAAGAAAAAAUAGGCUCUUUAACUCUCCCUUUCAUUUCCUAUAGGAUAAGAAUGGGAAAUGCUUCCAAACUUUCUUCUUCCUUUCUGCAUUUUUCCAUUAAAAUGAUGUUCAAAUGUUUGGCCAGAUUUGCCAUCCAAUUUUUACCCUUUACUCUUGCAUUUAGCCUUCAUACCUUCAACUCUUUGGGAAUCAAUUGCACAGCAUGUAAAAUAGGACUUGAUGGGGCAGAGAAAUAGGUCCGUACUCUCCAUAAUCCCAAUUAAAGGGGAUUUCAUCAUAACCUGCAUUUCAUCUUGUUUCUAAAUUCCAUUUUAAGGCUUUGAGGCCAUGCUGGUCACUGCAGAAAUGUUUCAUCUGCUUAACAAGACACCCCCUCCCCCCGCCCUUGAUAUUUUAGCAAUUUGACCUUGGAACAUUACAUGGAAAUGUGCUUCUGUCUUUGAUUCUGUCAAAGGAAAUGCAGAAUUGGAGUGGGGGGGGAACUGGAUGGAAUGGGAAAUCAUUUUUAAAAUAGUUGUGCUUAAAAGAAAUGAAGCGGCUCAGGAAUCAGAUUAGCCCCUUUUUGGCAUGAGGUUUUCUUCUUCUUUUUCCUUCCAAAGAACUAUUCUGCAUUCAGGACUUUCCAUUACCUUGCUUGGAGGGAAGUGAGCAACAUAAUGCUGUUGCAACUUUAUCUCCCCUCUCCCCUCUACUCUCUGAGUAAACUGAUGAUACUUCUCCUCAAAUCUCCAAAGGUAUCUGACAAAGCAGUUUCAGGUUUUCAGCAGAGUGGGUUAGGUUGAAAGAUGGUAACAGGCCAAGAUCCCUUUCGGAUGAGCAGAGCCUUGAACCCAAGUAUCCCCAGUCUAAGUCCAGCAGUCUACCACAUGCUUAAUAACAUAUAUAUUGCUGAAUUUAGCCUACAUAGUGUUGUUGUUGUUGUUGUUGUUGUUGUUGUUGUUGUUUUACAAUUUAAGGCUUCUGUUUUUCUCUGAUUGGGGAGUAUGUCAGUGGCAGAGCACAGGUCUCUUCAGGUAGCAGGACUGGAAAAAGAUUUUCAUUGCCUGAGACCCUGGAAACCAGCUGCCUGCUGGAGUAGAAAAGCAUUGGGCUGUACCAAGGAUAGCCAAAAUGGUGCUCUCUAGGUGAUGUUGGACUACACUUUCCAUCAGCCUCAGCCGCCAUGGUCAAUGGUUAAAGAUUAUGGCAAUUGUAGCCCAAGAAUAUCACACUGGCUACCCCUAGAUGACUUAGUGGUCUGAUUUAGGAUAAAGCAGCUCCAUUAUCCUAAGAUAUCUUUUAUUAUGCUAGUAAAUGUUGUUGUUGUUUAGUCAUUUAGUUGUGUCCGACUCUUCGUGACCCCAUGGACCAGAACACGCCAGGCACUCCUGUCUUCCACUGCCUCCCGCAGUUUGGUCAAACUCAUGUUAGUAGCUUUGAGAACAUUGUCCAACCAUCUCGUCCUCUUCUUCUUGUGCCCUCCAUCUUUCCCAACAUCAGGGUCUUUUCCAGGGAGUUUUCUCUUCUCAUGAGGUGGCCAAAGUAUUGGAGCCUCAGCUUCAUGAUCUGUCCUUCCAGUGAGCACUCAGGGCUGAUUUCCUUCAGAAUGGAUAGGUUUGAUCUUCUUGCAGUCCAUGGGACUCUCAAGAGUCUCCUCCAGCACCAUAAUUCAAAAGCAUCAAUUCUUCGGUGAUCAGCCUUCUUUAUGGUCCAGCUCUCACUUCCAUACAUCACUACUGGGAAAAUCAUAGCUAGUAAAUAAAAAUCUUUUAUUAUGCUAGUAAGCUAGCACAUUAAUACUUCUUAUUCUAUUGAAAGAGACCCUCAAAUGUGGGAGUGCUAGUGAUUUGGCUUUGAAAAUGGUACUGAACAUUCACUUUGUUUCCCCUUCAAGAUUUCACAUUGAAAGAUUUUGCGUCCGGUCUCCCAGCUUAAUCCUUUCCCUCUGUUGUUUCCUUAUGAUAAUAGAUACUGAUGUAGCUCUUCAAAUGAACAUGAGUCUCAUAUGUUCUAUCAACAGUAUGAGCUCUGGUGCUUGAAAUCCAGCUAUUAAUUGAUAACUUUUUUCGGUGGUAGAUUCCCUACAUAUUUGUCAGAUUAUAUUAACUAAGGUGUAUGGAAUGAAAGAACUGUAUUCUGAGAGACCACCCCAAAUUCUGCCCUGCGAUUUCCCCCCCAGGUUAACAGGGUUGCAAAUUGAUUUAUUUUCCCUGGAAGCAAUUAUCACAGAAACGAGUACUAAACCUCCACUGGAUUCUGCUAGAUUUCCAGAAGUGCAUUCUCCGUCAUGUGAAAUCUUACAUAAAAUGCAAAAAACCCACGAUCAGGUAAGGAAACGUCAGGAAAAUGGCAUAAAGUGUUGUCUGAAUGCAGCCCAUAUGUGUGCGUGGGGAGAGAGAGAGAGAGAGAGAGAGAGAGAGAAGCAGACUUACUAGCAACCAUCUCAGGAAGGCGAAGAUAAAUGAGACUUUUCUCCACUUCUCCUUGGUGGGGAGAAAGCUUAAGUUUGAAAAUAACUUGGGGUCUGGCACUCUUGUCUCCUUCAAAGAACAUCCUGUUAAAAGAGAGCCUUACAUCUGUGAGAGCAAUUGUAGAAAAUGUUGAGAUGUUUCUUUCUUGUGUGUGGUAAAAUCAAGUGAAGAAGCUGGUUGCUUUCUUUUCUUUUCUUUUUAUCAGUGUAAAAGGAUUUUUUGUUUUGCUUUUAUUUAAAGGCCCCUCCCCCCUUCCCUUUCUUCCCUUGCUGUUUCAAAACAUUUCAGACAGGCACUGUUUGUUCUUUGCAUCACUUAGAACAAUGUGUCUUAGGCAUCACUUUGUGUAUUUGUGAAGAAGUCUUUAUUAUACAGUGCUGUGCUAAGUAGACAGUCCAUUAAGAAAUGUGCGUCGAAUUCAAGCAUAUAGCCGAUGAAAUAACAGAACGGUGGAACUCGCUCAAGGACACCCAUCACAAAGACAAAUGCAAGGGUGCAGAGUGAAGUAAACUGUCGUAGUAAAAAUACCGCAGGAAAUGAUGUACUUCAUAUAUCUAUUUUCCACCUCACCACCCACUGAGCAGAGAGAGCUCUGAACACAGAACUUAAUGGAGCCAAUGAGCUCCAGUCAGUUCUAUGGGAGACGAGAUGGGACUUGCCAUCAGAAGAUGUCUUGAGCAGACUGAAUGGUUCUGUGUAUAUAAGGAGUUUGAAUGUGUGCGAGAGAUCUGAGUGGAGACCGAAGCAACAUGCAUAUAAUUUGUGCUUGGAUGUGAAUGUGGGCAGGUACGAAUGGAGAAGGAACCACAAGCAAAAACAUGUCUGUGAAGGAAUGAAACACUUUUGAAUGUGUUCUUAUUUAUGCAAUGUUUGCUUUCUGUUGAGACAUUGGGUUAUUUAGAGCAGCAAUUCCUAACCUUCUGAGGCCCAAGGCCACAUGUGGAAAUCAGAGGAACUGCCAUGGGCACCACCACAAAAUGGCUGCCAUGGGUGCCCAGCAUACUCUUAAAAUGGCUGCACUUUAAACUCGCCUAAUGAUGGGAUUUUUAAAUGUGCCAUGGGUGCCAGCACAAAAUGGCUGCAAUAAGACCUCCCUCAAAAAAGAGGUAACGGUAUUGUGUACCAUUGGCUACCAUCAUACAGCAAAAUGACUAGGAAGCAACAGCUUUCUAUAUUAUGUGAAGCUGAUGAAGACGUAUUUGUGAUAUUAUACAUUUGUACAAUGUACAUGUGAAUCCUUAGAAGGAAUAACAUGGAAAAGGAACAAGGUAAAAUGAGAUAUCUCUGCCUAGAUGUGGAAACGAAUGCAGUGCCUGGUUCUGUUGUGUUCAGAUAUUGCACAAACUAUUAGAGGGACUGAUAGAACUAUCAUACUGAUGAAUGGCUGCAUUCAGUGGCAUUAAAGAAAAUUUAUGUUAGAGCAACUGUCACUAAAAACAUUCAUUUAUCAAAGGAACUUACUUACUGGUCUCUAAUUUCUAUUAGUGAGCUAUCAAUACCACAUUAGCUAAUCCAUGUGCAUAAUGGCAAUCACGAUGUUCCCCCAAACCCAGUAAACUUUCAAAUUUAUCAUCUUCUUAUGACUUGUCUUGGAUUUUGAUGGCAUUCCUACAAAAUGGUAUUUAUUAGCCCUGAUCAGUUUAUACCUGUAACCGUCUAAUGUGAUGUUCUAUGCUGAGCCCAAAUCUAAUCGUGCAGGUCAAAAAUCUCUCAUCUUCUCAAAGCUCUGAUUCUUCAAGUGAAUUUCCCCUCUUGUCUGGAUCAGUAAGCUACCCGCAGAUUCACCCUACCUCACAGUUUGAAAAUCUGAGUUUAACAAGUCAGUCUGUUUAGAAUUUUGAUAGGACACUUUGGUGUAAUUUGUUCAAGUCUGGAAGGAUUGACACUGACCUCUGAGAAGUUGGUGGGGUGGAGGAAAUAGCUGAUCAUGUUGUAUGUGAUUGUUUGAGAGACUGGGAUGAAAAAGAACCUCUCCUUCACAAACAUAAGAACUUCGGCAUCACAAAUUUGUAUUUGGGGGCUGUCGUUUGUGUGGGAAUGUUAAGGAUAGUAGGAAAGGAUAUACUGAAUAAGUAUUAUCCUUCCUUCAUUCACACUAGUGAAUGAUGUAGCAGAGUAAAUUCCCCUCAAUCUAGCUGGAAGCUAGUUUGCAAAUCUGUUUGAAUCUCUUAGUUAAGAUUACUUUCUGUUAUCUCCUUUAAUCCCUCUUAAAAAAAUAAAGACACGAGAGUCUUUCUGAGUAAAGUAAGAAGUUUACUCACAUUUCAGUUCACGAUUUAAUCCCUGAAAGGCAGGAUUUUCUUAGCAGCUACAUAAACAAACAGUGUGAGUUGAUCUCAUAUGGAGCCUGAACUCAUGCUCUUAGCCAGCAGAAAGCAAAAUUACAUUAAGACAAAAUGGCUGCAGAAGAGCCACAUGGCAGCAAAAGAGCAGCAACAAGAGAACUUCAAGACAAAAGGUAGACUGCGACUGAGAAAAUGGCUGCAUAACUCGGCUCUUUUAAGGAGUCAGCCAGAGCCACGCCCACCUCCCAGGUCACAUACAGGGGGAGGAAGCUCUAGACCAGUGGAAGGGGAAGUUACACUGACUGGAUGUCCCCCUGCCUGUGCCCCCUCUAGGGAAAUAAGGAAUGUUGCAUUUGACUGCACAAAUGGGUUACAUCCCACACUUUGGGACAAAAAUUAUUAAGCAUGGGGUCCAGGGUUCAAGAUUUUAUGAAAGCUCUCCUGAGAUACAAGGCUUCCUGAAUCAUUAUAAUCGAGCGGGUAAUAAAGUAAAGUUGAGGGUUCCUUGUUCGGGUCCCGAUUACCCCCCAACACCAGUUUUUAAGGGAACAUGUAACACAGGAAGGUGCAAUAUGUUUUCCAUUUUACCAUGUGAAUGCAUCUAUAUAUGCAUCCCCACGGGCAAAUGCCCCUGCUUUGUUUCCCGAGGCUACCAGACAGAUGUCAGGAAAAGGUCUUUUCUGCAUACCCUCCACCAUUUCUCUGAUGAAAAUAGGGAUGCCCUAUUCCAUCAUCAUACUACUGAAAUAUUAUUUAUACCCUGCCCAUCUGACUGGGUUGCUCCAGCCACUCUGGGAGGCUUCCAACAUAUAUGAAAACAUAAGCAUUAAACAUUUAAAAAACUCCCCAUACAAAGCUGCAUUCAUAUGUCUUCUAAACGUUGUACACUGGUACCUCAGGUUAAGCACUUAAUUCGUUCCAGAGGUCCGUACUUAACCUGAAACUGUUCUUAACCUGAAGCACCACUUUAGCUAAUGGGGCCUCCUGCUGCUGCCGUGCUGCCGGAGCACGAUUUCUGUUCUCAUCCUGAAGCAAAGUUCUUAACCUGAAGCACUAUUUCUGGGUUAGCGGAGUCUGUAACCUGAAGCGUAUGUAACCUGAAGCGUAUGUAACCUGAGGUACCACUGUAUAGUUACUUAUCUCCUUGGCUUGGGGGUCGCAUAACUCCAUACCCUCCAACAUUUGCCCAAUGAAAACAGGACCAUCCUAAGGAAAAGCAGGGAUCAAUUCAGAAACCAGGACGACUUCAGUAAAUCUGGGACUGUCCCUAGAAAAUAGGGAAACUUGGUCUGUUUCUUUAGCGGAGUCCCGGCUAGGGAACUCCAUAUCCCAAGAGACCCACCUGGCUUCUCUCAUCCCCAUAGCAUUUCAAUACAAAGCUAUAAUAUUGUUUUGUCAGGCCUGUUAUGAUAUGUCUGAGCUCUGAUGUCAUUCCUCUACCCCCUAAGUAUGGCUUUUAUCGCUUUUAACUGCUUUUAUUGUUAGCGUUUUAGCAUCUAGCUGUCUUCUGCUGUGCUUUUAAUUAUGGUGUUGCAAGCUGCCUUGGACAUCUUUUUAUAAGAUAUAAAAGGCUGAGGGGGCAACUCACUCUGAAGCUGCACCCAUCAUAAACAUGCAAUUUAUCUUCUUUUUUUUAAAAUAGUAUUUAUUAAGGUUUUAAAUUUACAAAAAGGCAAAAGAAAAAACACCAAAUUAAACAAUAGCAAAACAACACAUCACAAUAAAAAAACAGAAAAAUAGAAACAAUUAAAAACAAAAACAAAAACAAAAACAAAUCGAGCCUUCCCAUAACUUAUCUUUCAUUUGCUUGUUUCCCUGACCUCCUCACACCUCCCUUUUUUGUAUUCUAAGUCAAUGAUCCAUUUCAGCAAAUCCUUUCCCUCUCUUCAAAAUUUUUAUCCUGAAAAUUUAUCUUGAUCUUAAUAUAAGUUUACUUUCCCUCUUUUCACCAAUUAACAGUCUAUUUUUCUUAAAUCUUAGAUACAUUUUUGCUAAAAUCACAUAGAUUCAUUCCCACAUCAUUCUAACAUUCAUUAAUUUUACAAUGUUUCUGUAAAUAGUCUUUAAAUUUCUUCCAAUCUUCCUCCACCGACUCUUCUCCCUGGUCUCGGAUUCUGCCAGUCAUUUCCGCCAGUUCCAUAUAGUCUAUCACCUUCAUCUGCCAUUCUUCCAGAAAUAAACAUGCAAUUUAUCAAUCAGCUUCACUCUCCCUUGGUGAAUGGCACCUGUCCUGUAUGGUUGGAUCUUCUAGGGAUAAUGAAAUAAGAUUUGACAAUGAACAUCUGGUGGUGAAGGACCAACGCGGUGAUGGGUCACUUCAUUGGUUGUGCCAGCCUAUACUAGUGGUAAACUGCAAAUGCAAACCAUAUUGACAUAUUCCCUGCUAUACCAGAUUCCUCCCUCAGCAAACGUGCUGUUGAUUUCCUUUCAUUACCUCCCAUCAGUUCUACUGAGGAUGCCACUGUCCAAUGUAAUAGCAUUUCAAUAUUGAUUUUCCAGACAGUCCUAAAUAAUGCUGUCAUAUUAAUAACCUCCAAGGCACUCUUGGGGUCAGGCUUCGUGUAUCUUCCUUAAGAUAACACAAUUGCAAUGAUCACCAUUCUUUAGGGGGUCUCCAGGUCAACAACACAUUUUUUUAACCCGACAGAUGAUUACAUGAACUGCUUGUUCCUGGGAGAGGGAGGGACAUCAAUAUAUUUGUUUAGUUUAAUAAUGAAAUCUUGCUGCUGCAUCUGCCGCCGCUUUUUAAGGAAUUGGUAUGUGUUGUGAUCUGUUAUUACGCUUACCGUGCAGCAUUAAUGUGAUGAAUACAUCCACAAUGGCACCUUUCUCACACUGAGUUCCAUUUAACAUUUGCCUCUGGUUUCCUUACAUUCCCUGAAGCAUUUACCUCUGUGGUUGCUUGCAUGCUGUAUCUGGUUGUGAUUUGGGUAGAGAAUGUCAGGAGCUGCUCAUGAGGUGGUGUGGCGCUUCAGAACAACCCUCCUGACAUGGACAUCUCUGCCGAUUGCCUCGAUGGGACACGGCAAGGUGGCAGCAAUGGCAGAUUGGCUCCACCGGUGCAACUGUGUAGCCACUGUGGGAUGCAAUCCAUUUGUGCAGUCAAAUGGAACAUUCCUUAUUUCCCUAGAGUGGGCACAGGCAGGGGGACAUCCAGUCAGUGUAACUUCCUGUUCCACUGGUCUGGAGCUUCCUCCCCCUGCAUGUGAUUCGGGAGAUGGGCGUGGCUCUGGCUGACUCCAUAAUAGAGCCCAGUCACACAGCCAUUUCUCUCUCUCUCUCUCUCUCUCUCUCUCUCUCUCUCUCUCUCGCUUGCUGCUCUCCAGCAGCCAUUUUGUUCUUUUCAUGUAAUUUUGCACAUGAGCUCAAUCUCCAUAUGAGAUUCACUCACAGUUUGUUAUGUAACUACAGUGGUACCUCUGGUUGCGAACGGGAUCCUUUCCAGAGGCCCGUUUGCAACAUGAAAAACCCGCAACCUGAAGCGCCGUACCUGCGCAGGUGUACGGCGCGAUUUGGUGCUUGUGCGCAUGCGCGAGCGGCGAAACCCGGAAGUAACCCUUUCCGGUACUUCCGGGUCGCCGCAGGACGCAACCUGAAAAAACGUAUCAUGAAGCAAAUGUAACAUGAGGUAUGACUGUACUAAGUAAAGUCUGCCUUUCAGGGAACUGAAAUGUGAGUAAAUUUCUUGUUACUUUUAAGGAAAGACUCUUGUGUCUUUGUUUUUUAAAGAGGGAUAAAAGGGGACACCAGGAAUAAUCCAUCUGGGCAAGCCAGAUUGGAUUACUUAACUAAAGAGAUUCACACGAAACUAGCUUCCUGCUAUAUUGAGGGGAAUCUGCUCUGCUACAUCAUUCACUAGCGUGAGUGAAGGAAGGAUAAUACUUAUUCAAUAUAUCCUUUCCUGCUACCUUUAACAUUCCCACAGCCACAACCUUGCUGCCAUUCUCCCUAACCUCAGCCUCAUCCAGGUAAGAGGGAACAAGGCCAGAGGGGGCCUCCACAGCUCUGCCCCACCACAUAGGCCACUACUGAAUAGGGCGCCUGUCAGUCUCUCAGUUUGUGAUUUUCAGGUUGUGAGUUUUGUUGCUUAUAUAGCCAAAAGAGAAUCACGCACAUAUAUGAGGGAGGUAUCAGCAGGAUUGGGUGAACUUUGAGAUUUAGAGAAGUACAAUUGAAGCAAAAAACAAAAAAACAAAAACAAAACCUAAGGGCAGAACUGCCUACAACAUAGGACUCAGUGAGUGGCCCUGUUUUAUGUAUUAUACCAUCUAGAUGCCUACUACUGUGCCAAAGAUACAUAGCCUCAUUCUUUAAAAAAACACAAUAGAACUCAAGAUAAAACAAAGCCAACACUGCGAAAACAAAGCAAAACAGCAACAAAAGAAACAGAACUAUAAAAGAAAACCAAGGCAACGAAGGAGAAGAAUCUUUUCUACAUUCAAACAGUCACUCUCUAAAACCAGCACAAGGUUUGCCUGAUGUUGGAAGGCUAACAGUGAAGGGGUAGAAUGAACCCUGAGAGGAGCUCAAAACAGAUGUCCUUGGACUUCAACUCCCAUCAGCCCCAACUGGCAUGACUAAUGAUCAGAGAUGGUGGGAGUUGUGGUCUGGUAACCCCUGGUGAGCAUUAGAUAGGCCACCUUUGUUUUAUAGCAUAAGUGCCGCUGGAGAAACAGCUAAUUUCACAUAGAAAGGAGAUUCGAAGCAGGGUUUCAGAGGAAGAUCUCCCAUGUGGGAGAAAGCAAUACUUUUAGAGCAGGGUUGGGGAACCUCAGGCUCAGGGGCAAAUGGAGUCCUCCAGGCCUCUCUGUCUGGUCCUUUGGACUCUCCUCGUGCCCCAUCUCCCCAGGCACAACCACUCUCCCAGGCCCUACCUCUCACUGGCCAUGAUCUGUAUCCUCCUGGAGCACUGUUUCUCAACCUGUGGGUCCCCAGAUGUUGUUGGUUUACAACUCCCAUCAUUCCUAGCCAGCAUGACCAGUGGUCAGGGAUGAUGGGAGUUGUAUUCCAACAACAUCUGGGAACCCACAGGUUGAGAACCGCUGUGCCUGGAGUGUGGACUUGAGUGCAGACAAUGACUCUUGCUUGCCUGGAAGGAGGAUAGAGAUGGAUAUGGAAGUGUGUGUACAACUGGUGACAUUUGCGGUCUUGUUCCACUCACUUGUGGUUCUUCAUUGCAACCGCCAUGGGCAUGUGACCUCCACAGGGUUGCCAAGAAGGAAACAUAGCCCUCAGACUGAAAAAAAGGUCCCAUUUUGAUUUAGUAUUUCUGAUUCUGAUUCCUAGUAUACAGCUGAAACUUGGAAAAUUAGAAUAUCAUGAAAAAGUUCAUUUAUUUCAGUAAUUCAACUUAAAAGGUGAAACUAAUAUACGAGAUAGUCUCAUGGCAUGCAAAGCGAGAUAUGUCAAGUCUUUAUUUGUUAUAAUUGUGAUGACCAUGGCGUACAGCUGAUGAAAACCCCAAAUUAACAAUCUCAGAAAAUCAACACAGACUGUGGAAACUUCACACUGGACUUCAAGCAUCUGGCAUUGUGUGCCUCCCCAUUCUUCCUCCAGACUCUGGGUCCUUGGUUUCCAAAUGAGAUGCAAAAGCUGCUCUCAUCAGAAAAGAGAUUUGGGGAGCCAUGUCAUCAGUUGGUGUUGGUCCACUGUGCUUCAUUAAGUCCAGGGUCAACACAGCCAUCUACCAGAAGACUUUGGAGCACUUCAUGCUUUCUUCUGCAGACGAGCUUUAUGGGGAUGGUAACUUCAUUUUCCAGCAGGACUUUGGCACCUGCCCACACUGCCAAAAGUACCAAAACCUGGUUCAGUGCCCAUGGGAUUACUUUGCUUGAUUGGCCAGCAAACUUGCCUGACCUGAACCCCAUAGAGAAUCUAUGGGGCAUUGCCAAGAGAAAGAUGAGAGACAUGAGACCAAGCAAUGCAGAAGAGCUGAAGGCUGCUACUGAAGCAUCCUGGUCUUCCAUAACACCUCAGCAGUGCCACAGGCUGAUAGCAUCCAUGCCACGCCACAUUGAGGCAGUAAUUGAUGCAAAAGGGGCCCAAACCAAGUACUGAGUACAUAUGCAUGCUUCUAUUUCUCAGAGGUCCAAUAUUGCUCUAUUUGCAGUCCUUGUUUUGCUGAUUUCAUUUAAUAUUCUAAUUUUCUGAGAUUGUUAAUUUGGGGUUUUCAUCAGCUGUACGCCAUGAUCAUCACAAUUAUAACAAAUAAAGACUUGACAUAUCUCGCUUUGCAUGUCAUGAGUCUAUCUCAUAUAUUAGUUUCACCUUUUAAGUUGAAUUACUGAAAUCAAUGAACUUUUCCACAAUAUUCUAAUUUUCCAAGUUUCACCUGUACUUGCCCCACAAUUGCAGAUUUUGCCUUUUGCUUUUCUCUUAAUAAAUGCUUAUUUUGCUCAAUGUGUCUUGCACCUGCAUAACUCCUGAUGGUACACAGUUCCUUCACUGUCUUUGCACUAUCACUGCCACGCUUCUUCCAAGUGGUUCGCUCCAUAGCAAUGUGUGAACUGGCUAAUGUGUUCUCCAAGCACAUUUUGUCAUUUGCGCGAUGCUCCCACAAGUUCCACUAAGCCAGCCAAUGGAUCAUUGCAUUCCCCCCCCCCUACAGUCUUAUAAAACACUGCAUUUUAAGUGCUCAGAAAAUGUGAGGUUGGGAACGGCACCUUCAUGGGAAUAAGUUGCAGGCUGCAUGCAACCAAUGGGGGCAAAGGUGAUUUACAAAUAGGUAUCAACUCUCGAAACAUAUCCCAAAAAUGUAACAGUUUCCUUUAAUCACAAAUGCUUGAUAAUGAUCAGAGGUUAAAUAAAAAAGUGUUAUCUCAGUUGCUUUAAUUAUUUUCACACCCACAAAGAAACUUAACAGCAGUUUAAUUAGAAAUAUUAGUCGACUGAGCUGCAUCUACAGCAGACAUUGUGUCUGUUCAGGGAGAAAUAAAGAAAGCUGGGGUUAGAGAUCUGAGCAAAUCACUGCAAAUAAGUUAUUUGUGCAUGUAUUAUAAACUUGUAGGGCCAUUUGCAGUGUGUUAUAAAAAUGCAACAAUCACCCUCCACAAAAAAUGUCUAUAAAAGAGUGGCAAAGCCUAAAAGAAAAGAUAACAGCAUUAAAACUGCUUGAAAUGACAAUGGUUUGUUUGCUGACCAUUCCAUCUGUCAAUUUUGUUUUCUUUGCACUUUUCCCUAUGAAUUUGAAAUUUUGUUUUUUUAAAAAAAAUUGGCCUAAUCCAGCAGGCUAUUAUUGUGUUCUUAUGUUCUUGAUCAAUUCUCUCCUAAAAUAUUCUGCUAGUAUGGUGAAUCUUCAUCGGAAUUCUUCUUGCGCUGUAAGGACAUAAAAAUGAGUGCAGGGCAUAUUUGUGCUUCCCUGAAAAACAACAGCAUUUCACCUGGAAGGGAAGUGGUUGCUGAUCCCCACACUUAGCAAAUAGCUCGGUUUUGGCAGGAACAUGACUCACAUCGGUAAUUGUCCUCAUAAUAAAUAUUGAGCUUUGGGGAACAUGUUGCUGGAAAAAAAAAUAACUUUGUGCCAGCCAACCACGGCAGCUUGCUUUGUUGUUCCCAGCAAAUUGAUGGGCUCAACCCUGUCCUCUUGAUGUUUAUGCAUUUCCACCCACUGCUACUGGUGCCAGCCACAGUUCUGCACCAGAAUACUUCCCACCUCCCUUGAGAUUCUUGGAAACGCAACCUCUUCACAGUUCUGUGAUGCAUUUCUUUCUCCCCGUCCACCCACAACAUGAAUAUCUGUAGAUGUGAAAUAGAGGUGUUGAAACUGAUGGGUAUUUUCACUUGCCAGGUUUGUCUGAGGCUAAGUGCCAGGGCCUGCACAAGACAUUUUGGCACUUGGGGUAGACCCCCCAAUGGUGCUUCCCUCCCUGCCAGGAAAGAGGGGUGAGGGAAGGUCAAGGAACAAGGGAGGAAGAAAGAUUGACAUUGGGAUCUGCUGCCUUGGAGGAUCCUUCCGCCUGAGGCAGGUGCUUCACCUGGCCUCAGGGGUGGGCCAGCUCUGCUAAGAACUCUAUGCAGAGCUCAAUAGUUGUAUCUGCUGUCGGCAUUCGGAGGGCCGGGAGACCAGCUGAUAAGCCCCAGCUGUGCCAUCUCCAUCCAUCGGCCUGUGCUCUGGGGUCUUGACACGCAAUACAUUUCCUACUUUUUGUGAACGGAGAAUAUGUGGAAUCCACAAAGCUUCAGCAGUGGCAAUAAUAGAUUCAUUAGCCAUGUUCAGGUAUAGUCAAAUUAUUACUGGGGCAGGAGUGCAAGGCUGAGAUCACUAAACUGGUGUUGACUUAAAUGUAUGGUUUUUUUCUGCUAUGAGAGAGAGAGAGAGACUUUUAGGGUCCAACCUUCUUAAGACAGAUUCCAACAACAUGUCAAAUUUAUAUAAUUGAUAAUAAACAUAAAACACAGUAAAAAUAGAACUGGAAAAGAAAAAAAACCCAACAGUGACCAGAAAUAACCUCAAAGCAGCAGUAGUCAGUUGGAAUGUUUGGACCCUUGGAAUGUUUUGGACUACAACUCCCAUCGUUCCUGACCAUGUCCCAUACUGACUAGGGCUGUUGAGAGUAAUCCAAAACAUCUGCAGGGCACCAUAUUGUCUGUCCCUGCCUUAAAGCAACCCCUUGUCCAGUAAAGCUACAAAGGUGUGUAAGUGUCAACUGACAAUAAUGACAGCAACAUUUCAGUGAGAUCUGGAAAAAAGAGACGAUACUAUAUUUGUUACACUGACAAUAUCCUCAAAGAAAAACUUUGAGCUUCUUAGCAUAAGAUAAUACCCACCUUAAUUUAGAAUAAUUGCUUUGGUUAUUAUUGAGACUGUGAAAUGGACUAAGCAGGCAAAUCCAGUCUGCUUUCUAGAUACAGCAAAUGUGGAUUAAUUAAGCAUUAGAUCUUGGCCUCUUUAUGGCAUUCCAAAGUGUUGGAAAGAGAUAUAGAUCAAUCAUCAUGCUAAAUACAUGAUAGAGUACGGCCUGAGCCAAACUAGACUAUAAAUACAAUAAUUAUCUGGGAGCAUUCCUGUGCGGAGUGCAGUUCUGCCCUGGGAUCCUUUAAAAUUAUUUUUCAGCUGAGAUAUGGCCUGAGAGGAGAAUAUUUGCUGUAUUUCUAGUGGAAAAGAAGCUUGUGCUAGCUUGUUUGACUAUGACAAUCAAUGUUGCACUUCUCUAUAGAAAAUGAUGCAGAUUGGUCCAUUAUAGUUGUCUUUGGUAAAAUGGCCUUGGGGGCAUUCUUCUGUUCUCUUGAUUAUACUUAUAUUUUGCUUUUCUCUCACAAUCCAGCAUGGUAUAAUGGUUAGUGUAUUGGAUUGUGACCUGGGAGACCUGGGUUUGAAGCUCACAGCCAUGAUGCUCACUGGGUGGUCUUGGGUGAAUUAUUGUCUCUCAGCCUAACCUACCUCACAGGGUUGUUGUGAAGAGGGGAGAACCAUGCAGAACACCUUGAGUUCCUCAGAAGAAACAGUGAUGUAUAAAUGUAAUAAAUGCAGUGGUACCUUGGAAGCUGAACGGAAUCCGUUCCGGAAGUCCAUUUGACUUCCAAAAUGUUUGGAAACCAAAGUGCGGCUUCCGAUUGGCUGCAGGAAGCUCCUGCAGCCAAUCAGAAGCCACAGAAGCCACGUUGAACAUUUGGGUUCCAAAGAACGUUCACAAACCAUAACACUCACUUCUGGGUUUGCGGCAUCCGGGAGCCAAAAUGUCCAACUUGCAAGGCAUUUGGGGUCCAAGGUACGGCUAUAAAUAGAAAUGACAUUGUUUGGGCAAUGGAUUUCAAACUUCUGCAUAUGCACUAGCAUCAGAUGUACAGAGUGUGUUGUGCUGAAACCUAGCCUCCCAUUUCUCUAGAGUUUUCUUUCCUUUGAAGGAAGCUUCCACUUUUCUUCCCCAUAUGAUGGACACCUUAGAACAGGCUUCCUCAACCUCGGCCCUCCAGACGCUUUUGGCCUACAACUCCCAUGAUCCCUAGCUAGCAGGACCAGUGGUGGGAAUUGUAGUCUCAAAACAUCUGGAGGGCCAAGGUUGAGGCAGCCUGCCUUAGAGUGUCUCUAUGAUUUCCAUGAAUUUAAGGAAUGAAUAUAUAUCUUAUUUCUGCAAGGAGUGUGUGUGAGAGAGUUAUAUCCUUAAAUGUUUGUCCACUUUUCUGCAGCACGCAUUUCCUGAUCCAAUAAAGCCCUGUGAAAGAAGUUAAAUCAUGAAAUUUUCCUCUGGGCCUUAACUGAAAGAAUGGGAAGCUUGGGAGGGUGGUUCCCCGGUGCCGGAAGAAGCUGCUCUCACUCAUUUUGCUUUUAAAGGAAGAUCUUCCUUUUAUUUACUUUUCAAGAAAAUCGGUCUGCAUUGAUUUCUUGAAAAGCAAACAAUACUUCAUUUUUAAAAUCACUAACUGCACAAAUGUCAGGUGCAUGGAAUGCAACCUCCCUGCAUUACCAUGCUUGCAAAAAAGCUCAGCUGGGGCGUGAUUGCGUUUUCAGGAAGUACAGGCACCUGGGAAGUCAGCAGAAGGCAGACACCUCUGAGAAGAAAGAAAGAAAGAAAGAAAGAAAGAAAGAAAGAAAGUCAUUCACAAAGUUAUUGGCCACCUCAGAAGUGAGGUAAGUGCAACCAUCGCCACCACGUUCCACAUGAGAAUUUCACCCAAAUUUUCCUUUCCUAAUUUUAAAAUGCAAUUUAUCUUCUCAUUAACUGACGGUUUGGUGGUAGGCGAUGGUGGUGCAGAAUUUUUUAGACACAGCAAUAAGUCUAGCUGCAUGCCUAGACCAGGAAUGUACUUCCAGACAAACCUAGAGAAGGUACGCAGGACAUUAGUGUGUCACAUUGAAGAGGGACUGCCUCUAGAGAAGAAGCUCAUCUUGCACAACAUGCAAAUUUUAAUCUCAUGUUCUCUCCUAGAUGCAAUUCUUUCAAAGCCUAGACAUGAGGCAUCUUCUAUGAUGCUUCACCCCAUCCCACCCCACCCAACCCAGUCCCUUUAAUUGCCGCCUUCUCCUGAGAGCUCCAUGAUGCAACACUCUUUUCUUGCCUCUUAGGGUAGCAUUUGCAGACCUACAUAUUUGUAGGCUGCAAGGACUUUGGCUCGGGACACUAUUACUUACUUAUUUACUUACCUACAACCUUCAUAUACCAAAGACUAGUUCUAAAAUUGCCCUUGCCACCAGUCUCAAGAUUCGUUAAGAAAGGCCACAAAAAACCACACACACAAAAACAAAAACGGGAUGGGAGAGAGGAGGGCAUGUGUGGUCUCCAAAUACCUGUGGCGCUUUUAGCAGAAUGCUCAGAGUCCCAGGUUCCUUAGUGCAGUAAUUAUUUAUUGUGAGCUAAAUAUAUAUACAAAUAUCUACAGAAGCAGUUCAUAUAAUCAGACAGAGUACCUGCACCUUGAGGCAAAAGAAGACUCCACACUCAUCUACACCACACCACCAUUACUAUUGGACAGGCUUUACUUUUAAACCAGUGACAGCCAAUCACAUUACUGCUGAGUCAUUCCACAGAGAGUAUUGCAUCAGCCUGUUGCAAACUGAAGCCCGCAGACUUACUUACACAGCAUCCUGUGAAUCCCAACAAAUACUUCAUGGAUGUGAAAGAACCUCUUAUCUUUGUAGCCAAUGAGUUAUCAGUUGAAAGCUUUGGGAGCAAACUCUUGGAAGGGAACUCUUCCUCCCAAAAAGAAAAAGAAAGAGAGCUCUAACUGACAAGUGAUACUGGUUGUAGCACAUCUAUUUUGCAUAUCAGCUCUGCAAAUGCUGCAAUUUGCAUUGAGCACCUGAGGGAGGAAGUCUUAUUUUUAUCCUGCUGUUUCCCAAAGAGGUCAAGGAAGAGCUGCAUUUGCAAACGGAAGAUCUAGCUCUGUUGUCAAGGAGGCCAGACCCUGGUGGUCUGGGGGCUGUUCUGAUUUGGGGAACAGGGAAGAUGGAACACUUGUGAUCUCAUGCCUGAAUGUGCCAAGUUGGGAAUAUGCUAUGAUCAGUUGCAGAACAGCCUUCCCCAACCUGUUGUCCUCCAGAUGUUUUGGACUUCCACUCCCAUCUUGCAUGGUUGACUGUCUGCAGAUGAUGGGAGUUGUGGUCUCACAAAUACCUGGUGGGCAAUAGGUUGAAGUGGGCUAGUCUAGAACAUGGCUGAUAUUUUGGAAAGCAGUUAAUAUGUGACACAAAUCACUAUCAAAUCAAUUUGAGAGUGCCAGCACUGAAAGUUUCUAGAUAUUGAUCACUAGCAGCGCUUUCAUGAGAGCAGAGUAUAUCAGAAGGUCCAGACACUUUUUGGUGUCUCAAAGCAGCAGAGGUGAGAAAGUUCAGAAUUAGAGAAGACUCUUGGUUGGAGUUGAAAAUCCAUUGAUGAGAUGUUUCCUCCCAGAAAACCCAAAUCCCUAAAGUGUAUUAAAUGUAAUCCCCCUUCCAAAAAAACCCACACACAAUUUUCUGAAUGCCAAGGAGAUGCCAUUAAAGAGACAGCCUGUGCAUAACGAGCAGGGCUUAAAACAAGAAGGGGAGCGGAAAGCCGAUUGCCAGACAUUAAUGGGUCAGUAAGAACAGCACGUAGAAGUCUUGCUCCUUAAAACCAGCCAAGAUGUUAUAGUCAAUUGGCAAUGAGUUUGCAGAUACUAAAAUACUUGCUGAGUUAAUUGUCUAGGACUAGGGCAGCAGGGAGGGCAACCCUUUGAAAUUCCAUUUUGAAACUCUCGAUUAUGUGAAAUUAUGAAAGUGCCUCAAAGAGAGAUGAGCUAGAGAUUGGGUGAACCACUUGGAGCAAUGGCUCUUUCCGAAAGAGUUGGAAUUAAAUCAUUAUUUGCAGAGGCAAAGUCUCCUGACUUGAAAUCUGUCAAUGCACAGAUGUUCAGAGUGAAGAUAAUAAUGUCAUAGACAUGCCCUCCUCUCCCUCUCUCCCUCUCUCCCUCCCUCCCUCUCUCUCUCCCUCCCCCAAAAGCUAUUUCAAAGAAGUUGCAAUUGCCUCAUUAGUUGCAGACCAGAGCUCUUGAACAUCAUUGUACAUGAUGUUCUUGAACAUAUACAAAUGACUUCCUGAAGAUAUACUAGAUUUUGGGCAGGUUGUUGAAAAUAAGUGAAUUAGCAGGGCUAACUUGAAUAGCCCAAAUAUGCUGUUUGCAUUUAUUUUCACAGCACUUUUAAGCACUGUUCAAACUACUAAAGUUAGUCAUAGAAUUAUAGAGCUGGAAGGGACCUCAAGGGUCCUUGAGUCCAACCUUCUGCAAUUCAAGAAUCUCAGCUAAAUAAUCCCUCUCAAAUGACCAUCCAACCUCUGCUUAAAAACCUCCAGCGAAGGAGAGUCCACCACAGUCUGAGGGUGUCCAUUCCACUGUCAAGUAGUUCCUACCACCAGAAAUUUCUUCCUAAUAUUUAGUCAGAAUCUCCUUCCUUGUCACUUGAAUUCAUUGGUUCAGGUCCCACCCUCUGGAGCUACACCGAUUCUGUGAGUUUGACUGGGUUUUUUGUUUUCUCUUCCAUACAGUAAUGGCCCAUUGGGAUAGGUCUGUUUUUCCACAGCAGAGAAGAGGGCAUACUGGGAGGAAUAAUGGCUUACCAGGACUUGGCCUAUUGCAUUUCCAUGCAUGCUUUGUUAAAUUUGGCUUUGUGUGUUUGAGGUUCCUCCACCCCCCCCUCCAACCGCAGGAUAACUUUCCCAUAAAGAUAGAUCACAGCUGACAGUUUUCUGGCAGAAUGAUCGCUUAUGUGGUACGAUCAAAUGGCCACCACUGGGCCCUUAAAUUAAGCUGUGCCCCAUCCCAGAAAACAAUAAAGAUGUUUGUUUGUUUAGGGCAAGUUGCCGACUUGUAAAGAAUAAUUCUGAAAAUUCUGGUUUUCAGCCUUGUUUAUCCAUUUGUCACAUUGAUCCACUUCAGUCUAAUAUGAAAAGACAGCUAUGGUGAGCCCUGCUGUUGAAAAACAUGGUGCAGUGCUUGUGAGUAAUCAGGAAUGCCAAACACCCACCGCCCCACACAAAGAACAAGAAGUCAAUAAUGGAAAGAGCAACGCUUCUCUUGAAUUGCUUUGCACCCAAGGGUGAAACAACAGGCUCCAAUCAAUAAGAGACCGGUUGCAACAUCUCUUGAAUGCUCUCUUCCUCUGAACGCAAACCAUUGCUCAGCGCUAUCCGCUUAUGCCCGCUGAGGGGAUUGAAGAAGUCUGACUUGCGCUUUAAUGAGAGAGGUCCUCCUGACUUCCCCUCUGUCUUGCAAGCAUUCAAAGCGCAGAUCCAUCUGUGCACACAACCUCUCUCCAGCUGUGCUUUGCAAGGAGGGUGGCGCCAAAUUUGAUGUCGCCUUCCAUCCAACUGGCAUAGGUUAGCACUGCUAUGGGGCUGUUAGUCAGGCUCCUCAUCUUUUGCAUUGGACCCCUCUUUGAAACCUUGCAAUUUGCGCUUACAGAAUAUAAGUAGAUCUGAGGGUGCCACAGAUGCCGUCCCAACUCAGUACAUGGGAAUUGCUUGUUUUUAAUAUAUAUAUAUAUAAUAUCCAUAGUAGCCAUGCUCAUAUUUCAUUUUCGGAUAAUAAAAAUGAACUUGGCUCAGGGCAUUUCCUGGGGAUUAAUGGCUGGCUGAGGUUAAUGGGCCUUGGCUAUGCUCUGGGCCAUCAACUCCUCCCAGCUGGUCAUUAAUCCGCAGGAAAUACCCAGCACCAAGAUGAUUAUAUACCUUCAUGUGGGUUCUUCUUUCCGAGCAGAAUUCAGGAGCCCUCGGCGCCUGCUGCUUUUAGCCACAGUUAGAGCUUACAGCACUUACAGGCUUCAAAUGUUUGCUGGCAUUUCCGCUUAGUGGCAGCCCAAGAGUGCUGUGCUUCAGAGCUUUUUCAAAGAGCACCUACAGAAUGAGUAGAGAAUGAGCACUCAGCCUGCCGGGCUGCUAGGUGACCUGCUGAUUGAGGCAGCUUUACCAGCAUGGACAACGUCUGGGUAGGAUAGCCUGUGGACCGGAGUUCUGCUUCCUUUGCACGGCGUGCAGACGAAAGCCACACAAGCAAGCUAAAAAAAGCACAGUGAGAUACGUUUUCAUUUGCAAGGAGAGAGUGAGCAGUCCUGGUUUUUAGAUCUUUGGGAGACUUUUGAAUGUUAUGAUGAUCUGACGGGAGCAGAGAGGAAAGGAAAAAGUGGAAGAACAAAGUGUAUCUGUUAUGUACUGAGUUGAAUAGGAUCCAAAAUGUAGCAGUCUGAUUGGUCCUAGAACAAUAGGAUCCAAAAUGCAGCAGUCUGAUUGGUCCUAGAACAAUGCAGCAGCAUGAUUGGUCUGCAGGAGCCACCCAAUCUGGCUCCAGAUGGAAGUGAAUCCACAACCUGAUUGGCCUACAGGAGAAUUCCAGAAUUAGCCAAUCACAUGCAGCCCAUUGUGUAAAUAAUGUAUAUAAAGCAGAUACUCUGAGGGGACUUCCAUUCCUCCUCACCACUAUGAGCUGAAUAAAGAGCAUGAAAUCUACUCUCGACUCUUGAGUAUAUUUCAGUAUCUAAGAUAUACAAAGUCCAACUGAUGGAUUUAAUUUUUAUUUAUUUAUCACAUUUAUAUCCCACCUUUACUCCAAGGUGGCAUACAUGGUUUUCUUCCUAUUUUACCCUCGCAAGAACCCUGUGAAGUAGGUUUGGCUGAGAGACUGUGACUGGCUCAAGGUUACCCAGUGAGGACUCACCCACACCUCCCUUGGUCUGGCAAUUUCUUCUGUUUGCCCCAUGAUUUCUAGACACGGGUCCGGGAGGUGAGUUAUUUGACCCACUUCCUUCCCAUAGCUGUCACCUUUUCCCUUUUCUUGUGAGGAAUCCUAUUCGGAAUAAGGGAAUUUCCCUUUAAAAAGGGGAAACGUUGACAGCUAUGCUCCUUCCCUGGAAAAGCCCACUGAUUACUGCUGAAUCGGAACAAAACAUCAAUCUGCAGAAACCCCAAUUGAUAUUUGUUCUGAUUCAUCCUUAAAUUGUGGGUUUUCCUGGGGAAAAGUAGAGGGACAAAGAAAAAACUUUGAACUCUUGUCUCUCAGGCACCAGUCCAACACUCUAACCACUACACAAUGUUGACUCUCACACCAUACUGAUAUCAAUCCCAUUAAUAUCACUGAGUCCUACUCUAACUAAAGUUGGAUGCAACUCUGUGUCCAAAGCAAAAAGAGCAAUUUCUCCCUGCAUCAAUACAAUAUUCAGGUCUUAUGUCAAGCCACCUCCACACCUUACAUUUCAAGCACUCUUAUACCACUUUAAUAUAAUAAUACAUAACAAAUAAAUAUUCAAAUGUCUUAAUCAUCUGCUCAAGAAUUUUCCAGGGCAACGUACAGAAAUGUCAAACAUACAGAGUUUAAAACUGCACAAUAAAACAAUUAAUCCAUAGACAUUAAAAACACACCCCAGAAAAUUAUAAUCAAUACGGGCAAUUAACCAACAACAAAUCAAGAACUAAUGUUCAGUAGAAACAACCCAUUGCAUGCCAUGGAAUGUCUGAGAGUAGAGCAGAGUUUUAACUUGACACUGAACAUAUAGUAAAAUUGGUGCUAGAUGAGUCUUGCUGGAGAAAGCAAAACAUAGAUGAAGGGCCACAACCAAAAUGGCCCUCCUCCUUAUUGCCAGUCCUUGAAUCUUGAAACAAAUGUUUAUGUGCACUGGUGAGACUGGUAAUUCUGGACCCCAGGUUCCCAUUACCAGAACAUGCCGCAGUUAGCCUCAGCCUUGCACCAUUCCUUUCCCUCCCUGAAAGGAGACAAUCAAUUUCCAGGCAUUUUUUGCAAAAAGCAAAAGUUUCCCAUGUUGAUGGAACACAGAAAAGUGGUCCAUGCAAGCCACAGUUGCCUGUUUUGUGGUGGGAAACUUCAGCUCUGUAGACAAAUGAUGGAGAUGGGGGGGGUGAGCCAGAGGGGAGUCCAUUGACUUCACCCCUUCGGUCACAUCACAGCUACAGUUCUGCACAUGUUGCAGAGGCAACUUGAGAAGCGGGGAUCUUGCCAUCCUCAGAGCUACUCCCUGCACGGUCGGGGCUGCAGGACAAGUGAGAUCAUCCCCACUCUCUCCACCCAAGCAAUUUCCAUAGCAUGCUUUUAAAUGCCUGAACAGAGCUUAUGGAUUUGUUACAAAUUGUGGCCGGAAGCUUCAGAUUUCCUCCACUUACAUGCAAAGGGAGAUAGGAGCAUGCAAGCCUGAGGCUUGCCAUGACACAGUCAUACAAUACUAAAUCAUGGUUUUGUGUUCUGUCUGAAUUUAAACCCCACACACAUCUUUAAAACCAACAAAUCUGAAUAAAGCCUGAAUUCUUGUCUAGAAGCACAGAAAUGGAAUAAUGCUUUUUUUUAAUCCAAUUUUUUACACCAGGGUUUAGCAACUCUUUUCUAUUAAUGCUUUUACUGCUGUGCACUUUCAGUCACUAGCAUGGUGUGUGUGUGUGUGUGUGUGUGUGUGUGUUGUUUGCUUUGGACUGGCAACCUGAAAAGGAAAAAGUUGCUUUUAUUUUUACCUCUCUGAUGAUCAAGCAUUACUCUAUUAAGAGAUAAUAUUUGUAAACGAGUGGAUGAAUGCACAGCCUCAGAAACAGCAGGCUUUUUCCUCAGUACAGACGUUUCUGGUGAUGUGAGAAAAUGAUCCAAUGUCAUCUCUAGGCUAAGCAAGCAGGACAGAAGAAGGGCAAUGCCUUACUUCUAUAAAUGCUUGUGUUCACCAAUAUCAUGGUCCUCACUAUGAAAUCAAGGCCUUACAAAAACGUCUGCCCAAACAAGGUUGCUUUAACUUGGGCUCCAUCAUGCCACUUUUAACAGUCAUAGAUUCCCCUCAAGAAUCCUAGGGAGCAUAGUUUGUUAUGAGUGUUGAAAGUUGUUAGAAAACCCAUAGUCCCCUCACAGACCUACUAUUCCCAGAGUUCCCUGGGAGAAGGAAUUGAUAGCUGCCCAUUUUGAGAAACAGAUGCUGAACUUGAUGGACCUUUAGUCCUUUUAGCAGGACUCUUCUUAAGUUGUUUUGGACCUCCCAGUGUAAAAAUUGCAGACACAGAGGAAUGGAAGCCUUUUCCAGACUAUUCAAAGAAACAUUAUAGUAUGAUGAAUUCGUGAGCAGGAUACGAACUAUGAGCAACAGCAGGAAUUAGAGGUUACUGUAUCAUUGUCAUGAUACAAAAGAUAUAAGAUAGGGUGCAGCAAAGGGGAGAAAUAAAAAACACAAUUGAAAAUGGGAUGAGAGGUUGAACCCCCAAAGAGAAAACUCUAUUAUGUAUUGGAAUGUAUAUGUGAUUUUUUUUUUGAAAAUUUAAUAAAAUAUAAUGGGGAGGGGGGGAUGCAGACAAAACAGUGGUGCAAUCCAUUUAAUGGCAGGAUUUUUUUAAAAAAAGCAUAGUUAUUGUUUUGUUUUAAAGCAUAGAAAAUUAAAAAAAUGUUUAAUCUUGCCUUAGAUCACCUAUCUUGACUAGCGUUGAGGAAGAAACCCAUAAGUGAAUUAGCUGGUUCAAGGAAGGAAGAUGGGUGAAUGACUUGCCAUCUCUAAAAGGAGAAUUAUAAACAGAACCUGAGGCUAGAAAGGUCUUGUUUUCCUCAAGUUAUCUAUAAUUUAGGAUCCUCCUCCAAUUCCCACCAGGUCCCUCGGAACAUAUUUAUUUAGCUACGCCAAGCUUGGCUGCUAGGUAAUAAACACAGUUUGUGAACUGUGGAUGUCAGAGGCUCAGAUCUCCGAAUAAAGAACACUUCCUCUUGUAAUUAAACUUCAGAUGGGUCAGUUUACCUUCCUGGCCUUGUAAGCAGCGCAACUUGACUUCUGUCACACUCCACAUCUUUCUAAAGAAUGACCUUUUGUUCUUCCUGGCAUUUAAUGAACUGUUAAAAUAAGACCUGGCAUAAAGGGGGCAGUUGUAUAACAUUGUGCAUCCAGGCAGCACUUAAUAACAGCCUCAACGAGAAAAAUAAGUAAAUACAGAACCCAUCACCUGCCUUGUUUUCACACAGGUUCACAACAUAUAAGAAACAAUAACUUUUCACAUCCGUUUAGGCAGUUUAGGGCAUCUAUGGCCAACAUGGUUGUAGUCCUAGAGUGUGCCUCUUUUCUGUAAAAAAUAUUCCGUUAUGAAAUGACUAACCCACAUCACAAAAUGACAGGCUCAUAUUUACUUGUUUGCCAUAUUAAAGAAAUGAUCACUAAAUAUUUCGGUUGUCAAAUAUGAUUCAUAAAGAAUAUGUGCGGGAAAGGGGUGCCAAAUUUCUAAUAUUGAGAAACAUUCACAUAGUCGCUCCAAAUUUUGAAUAAGUUCAAUUCAAGGCUCCGCCAUCUGGACCUGGGGAAAUGGGCAAGUACAUUGAGCCACACUACUAGAUGCUCACAAUUGACCUCAGGGGUGAGGAACAUCAGGCCUGGGACCCAAAUGCAUCUCUAGAUCAUUCUUGGGACUCUCUCCAGGCUGCACACCCUCUAAAGCCACUACCACGACCCCUCGGUGGUCCUGUUUUGCACCACCCUUGAGGUUUUUUUGCCCGGCUGGGAUGCAUUCUUAAACAUUAGGAAGAACUUCCUGACAGUAAGAGCUGUUCGACAGUGGAAUUUGCUGCCAAGGAGUGUGGUGGAGUCUCCUUCUUUGGAGGUCUUUAAGCAGAGGCUUGACAACCAUAUGUCAGGAGUGCUCUGAUGGUGUUUCCUGCUUGGCAGGGGGUUGGACUCGAUGGCCCUUGUGGUCUCUUCCAACUCUAUGAUUCUAUGAUUCUAUGAUUCUAACUCUCACAAUACACCUUGCUAGUCAGGAAGGAAGGCAGAUAGGCUUGUGUGUUGCUGUAGAAACUAACCUACUGUACAAACAUAAAUUUUAUGGUUGUUGAUCCACCCAAUUUUUGUCUCUCGCUCCGCCUAUCACUGACAUGCUGCCCACAAGGAAACGCAGCUGCGCUGUAGCCCGGGGCAUCUCACUUUACCCUGUAGCAUAACACAAGCAGGGAAGCCGGUUUUAGCAUUCUGGCACAGCUUCCCACCCCCCUCUCCUCUCCGUCAAAUCCAAUCCAAAUGUUUUCCCUUUGCUUAUACUCUUGAGCUCUUUAUAUCUGUCAUUCAUGGCUGUGCCGGUUUCUCUGUUUAGCAGCAACAUGCUGUGGGCCUUCCUUGGGUCAAUAAGAAAGCCUCUGAUCUUUGAAGUGCCACUGAGCGUAAGAUCUGAAUGCGGGAACCAGCACAGCAGAAGCUGGCAGGUCUGGGGAGACCCUGUUAUAGGUGUGUGUGUGUGUAUGAGAGAGAGAGAGAGAGAGAGAAGGCUUAUAUGGUUUUUUCCCACCUCCAUGUGCAUAGGGAACAAUCCAUAAACUCAGAGGCAUAGCCACAGUCUGGUACUGCUGGCUGUGAUUUGAAACACUAACUCAAGCACAGAAUGCAAUAUCUCAUUGCCUUGCUAUAGUCUAUAGGUAAAGGUAAAGGACCCCUGGACGGUUAAGUCCAGUCAAAGGUGACUAUAUGGUUGCAGCGCUCAUCUCGCUUUCAGGCUGAAGAAGCUGGCGUUUGUCCACAGAAAGCUUUCCGGGUCAUGUGGACAGCAUGACUAAACCGCUUCUGGCGCAACGGGACACCAUGGUGGAAACCAGAGUGCACAGAAACGCCGUUUACUUUCCUGCCGCAGUGGUAACUAUUUAUCUACUUGUACUGGCGUGCUUUUGAACUGUUGGGUUGGCAGGAUCUGGGACAGAGCACCGGGAGCUCACCCCGUUGUGCGGAUUCAAACUUCCAACCUUCUGGUUGACAAGCCCAAGUGGCUCAGUGGUUUAGACCACUCCAGAAGGUGCGGGGAGAUUAGGAGGGGCUGUUCUGUUUGAUGGCCCCACAAGGCUAGAGAGGGCUGGAGACCACAGAGCUGAUCAGUCCCCACAAUGCAGGGAAUCAGUAUUUCCAUGUGAGGAGGAUGCUUUUUCAACCCAAGGAGUGCAUUUCCCCAUGGAGAACCUACCAAAGGCCACACAAAGGUGGGCACAGCUAAAGACAAAGAUGUGCAGAAAGAUGCUGCAUAGUAGCCUCACAAAAGUCAGAGGAGUGUGUAUAUGUUUGUGUGUUUAAGGAUAUAUUCCAGCCACUCAAAAGCAUUGACUCCCAGUCAAAACGUGGCAGCAGGUGCACUUACUUGUAAGUAAAUAAGCCUGGAAAAGAGGAGAUCGAGAGGAGAUACGAUAGCUGCCGCAUGGGAGAUGGAGCAAGCUUGUUUUCUCCUGCGCUGGAGGGUAGGACUCGAACCAAUGGCUUCAUGUUUGAUAGUGGAACCGUCUCCCUCGGGAGGUUUUGGACUCUCCUUCCUUGGAGGUUUUUAAGCAGAGGUUGGAUGGCCAUCUGUCCUGGAUGCUUUUGCUGAGAUUCCUACAUUGCAGGGGGUUGCACUAGAAAGAUGACCCUUGAUUCUAUGAUUCUAUAUUUAUCAAAGCAGAUUAAUGGUACAGACUCAACACCAGGUCAAUACAGCCCAGGAGCAAUUACAAGGUGGAGAGUUGACGUGGAUGAACCCAGCCUAGGAGCAAGGCCAAAGUUCACAAGGCCAACAUUGGUAACAAGGAAUUCAAGACUGUCCAGGAGCAGUAGAGCUGUCCCAACCAGUUUCCCUGCCCACCCGCCAAGCUUUUAAGCAGAUGUAGGGAGCGUUCACCUACUCACAAGAAUCUCUAUUCCUAUGUGUAAAUUGACUUUAAUUAAUAUAACUCCCUUCCUGAAUUCCACCGUAACUAUCUUCCUCCACCCAUUCAUCCUUAGAGCAAGGCCACUGACCCAUCCAUUUUAUGAGUACACAAGAAUGCAUCACAACUAGCUCUGAAACAAAGCUAGAAGUUCAAAAAUACAGGUUCUUUUAUUUCAAAAAAGUGAUUUGGUUUCAAAAAAGAGGAUUCCAAGUGAAGCUUCCUGGUUCUUGCUAAUGUUGUUUGCUUUGCUCUGCUUCAUUUCCCCCACCCACCCCUUUUUGUUUUAAUGUUUAAGCUGCCAGUUCCCAAAGAGCCUCAUUAAGGGGUUGGAGCCUUGGAAGAACAAAUUAAUUCAGAAAGGUGAUAUUCUAGUUUUGGUGCCUGUCUUUGAGUGUGCGAUGGCAUGGCAGCAAUAACAGGAGAGCGGGAGAGGGAGGGAAAGAGGAGACAGGGGAAAGACCCUUCAUAGAAACCCCGAGAGAUGCACAAAGAGAGGGCAGAGGCAUGCAUUCCUCAGCAAGAAGCCAGAGCCUAAUUAGCAGCCAUGAAAUGAGCAAAGAUGAAGUGAAUAAUCUGCCAGGGAAGUACAGUAUAAGUCCAUUCUGUAAACAUAGGCUGGUGAUUCUCAACGUAGGUGGCAACCUACAUUAGGGCAGUGAAGCGGGGACUUCUUCCUGGAAAUUCCCAUUCAUUUGUGGAUUGGAACAAUAAGUAGAAGGAACAUUAACUCAUCCCCAUAAAAGUGCAGUAGAUGACACUGUGUGUUCCAUCCUUCGCUUGAUUCCCAAUGUAUGGAGUCAUUGUGGAAAGUCUGAUUUCCCUAAGGGUUUCCUAAGAAUACAACUUGGAUCAAAGUGUACACUUACACCAAACAAAAUGUUCUACUAAAACUGCAGGAAGCUGUAUCAAAAGCUGCAUAUCUAUAUCAUCUAUCUAUCUAUCUAUCUAUCUAUCUAUCUAUCUAUCAUCUAUCAUCUAUCUUAAAAAGUAGAGACAUCACCUUGCCAACAAAGGUCCGUAUAGUAAAAGCUAUGGUUUUCCCAGUAGUGAUGUAUGGAAGUGAAAGCUGGACCAUAAAGAAAGCUGAUCGCCAAAGAAUUGAUGCUUUUAAAUUAUGGUGCUGGAGGAGACUCUUGAGAGUCCCAUGGACUGCAAGAAGAUCAAACCUCUCCAUUCUUAAGGAAAUCAGCCCUGAGUGCUCAUUGGAAGGACAGAUCCUGAAGCUGAGACUCCAAUACUUUGGCCACCUCAUGAGAAGAAAAGACUCCCUGGAAAAGACCCUGAUGUUGGGAAAGAUGGAGGGCACAAGGAGAAGGGGACGACAGAGGAUGAGAUGGUUGGAUAGUGUUCUCGAAGCUACCAGCAUGAGUUUGACCAAACUGCGGGAGGCAGUGGAAGACAAAAGUGCCUGGUGCGCUCUGGUCCAUGGGGUCACGAAGAGUUGGACACGACUAAACGACUAAACAACAACAACAAUCUAUCUAUCUAUAGUGAAAUCAGUCGCAUGUUUAUUAAGCAAAUGUUACAUUUUGCAAAUUCGCUAUCAGAGCAAUGCUGGUUCUUGUGAUACUGAACUGAUAUUAAAAGCAGGCAGCCAAUCUUGUUCAGUCCCACAAUAGUGCUAUUUUAUGCCAACAACACCAGUUACUCCUCACAUCCCGAUGCAGUGCAAAUGUGAGAACAUACACAACAGCACAGUGCUUUUGCAUCAUUUACAGCACAAUCCUAUACAUACAUAAUACUAUUCUCAGCUUAAGUGUGUAAAACCAAAAGCUGCAGUCCCAGUCUCAUCUUCUCAGAAGUCUCAUUGAACAACCCCAGGUCAGUGGGGUUGGGAUCCCGGCCUAAGACUACCAAACCUAUGAUGCAGUGCAUAUCUAAACAGAAACAUGCACACAAUACUUAAAUUCAAGAUCACAAUUGAGAAAAAAACAGUGAAAAUAAUUUCCCCCAAAAAAAUAGGCAAUAGAAAGGGAGCCGGGCAAAUAAAAUUGGAAAUGGAUUUUUCUUUCUAAUGCUGGCAGACAAAUCUUUGGCCUUAUUGGGGUGGUGGGUGGGUGACAAAGUACAACGGCAUUGUCUCUGCAUACCUGAAAACCUGCGAAACCCACACAAAUACACCAAAGUGCCAAAAUUUUUAUCUUUUCAGCAGCAGGUGAAAUCCUCAUUCUUUGCCCACGCUUUUCAGCUUUUCUUAGUUUGUGUUCUCAUCCUCCCGCCUCUUGCAUUUUUAGAAGUACGUGUGGUUUUAAUGUUUAACGCAGGUAUAAAUAGUAGGAAGAAAAGGAAAUGCAGGCAGGCACAUUUUGAGGCCCAAUCUGUGUGCAUAACUAGCAAUCUCCAUGUAAUUUGAAGAAAAUAAGCUUAAAUCAUAGAGGAGUUUGAGUAAGUUAUUGAUAUUGCCAGAGAAAGAGAAGUGGGGGAGAGGCUGUGAUUCACCGACACUUUCCCACUUGGUGGGCUCUUUUUUUUGUAAGAUGUUUUCUAUGUGUCUCAAUCCCACUGCUGGGGAAUCACACGUGCUGUGUGAUUUGUAUGCGUGGUUCCCCAUCCAGCUAGGGAUGCACACACAGAAGUCUACUUACAUGUGCAUAUGGCCCAAAGGUGCAUCCAGGGAGAGAUGCUUUUGGUUUUCAUUCAUUUUGGAAAGCACAGAGUCCAAUAGAUGAAUCUCUUGGUGGUGGUGGUUGAUUUUUUGUAUGUGUGUGUCUGUGCAAGUCCCACAAUAUGAAGAGAUCUUGCUUUGCAUACCUUAAGGAGCAGGAGCAGAGUUGGGGGUGGGAAUCGAGAGUGGACAGAGAAAAAUGGUCACAAGCAAGAUACGUAUUAAUGAAAAAUAUUUGUCCUCCUGCAAGCAGGAGCAUUGGGAUGCAAAUGAGACAGCUGCGUUCUUUAAUUGCAGCUGGAUUAAUAAAAUGUAAUUUUUACAACCCAUUUGCAACAGACCGCUGGGGAAUACAUUUUAUUACCACUCUGGGUGUCUUCUAGUUAAUAAAUUCGUGUCUUCUGAGCAUAAGCGUUUGGCUUCAAAUCCCAGAUACAAGUUUAUUAAAAUUGUAAUAGUUCUUGGAGACUAUAAAAUGAAAUGAAGUGCACAAAAUGUACAUUUCCAGCACAUGGCUCUCAAGCCAUUUUUUACAUGACUAAUUUCCAUGUUUCUGGCCUUGGCAGUGUGGUGUGGUUGAAUUUAAAUAAUAAAUAUUUAACCAGCCACAGAUAUUGGUCUACGUGCAUUUCAAAUGUGGGCCGUUUUAGCCCCCUUUGCAAUCUUAUUUAAGGUUUACAUUUCAUAGAAUCAAAGAAUUGUAGAGUUGGAAGAAAUCUGAGGGUCAUCUAGUCCAAACCCCUGCAAUGCAGGAAUCUUAGGAUGUGGUGGUUCUCUGGUUCAGCCAGCAUAAAUCCUCAAGCCCUGACUCAACCAGAGAUAUGCUGCCCCAAAUCCUUCAUCCUGGCUUAGCUGAAACUCAGGGGGCUGAGUUGUGCCCUGGAAAAGGAGUGUUCCAGGGGCGUGGUUGAGCCAGGACCAGAGGAGGGAAACUUAGGUUGGUUGGAUACUGUGUGCAUUCAGUUUGGUCAUGUUGGUAUAAGUUAAGCUGGCAAUGUUUGGGAAGCUGAAGAAGCUUGAUCUUCACUCAGUAGAACAACGUUGGCAAAGUGUUUCCUAAGUUUUAUUGACAGAAGUCUGAUAGAGAGUCAUGUUGAACACAUGGAAAUGUUCACCGCCUUCUGCUCUGGUAGGUUUCUGCAGUGCAUAGGCUUUCUUCCACACAUGCACAGUAUCUGUCAUAAAGAUGAGCAUUUCCUUAAUAAUGGAUAUGUUCUUGUUUGAUUGGGAUGCGGGUGGCGCUGGGGGUAAAACCUCAGCGCCUAGGACUUGCCGAUCGCAUGGUCGGCGGUUUGAAUCCUCGUGACGGGGUGAGCUCCCGUCGUUCAGUCCCAGCUCCUGCCCACCUAGCAGUUCGAAAGCACCCUUAAGUGCAAGUAGAUAAAUAGGUACCGCUUUAUAGCGGGAAGGUAAACGGCGUUUCCGUGUGCUGCGCUGGUGCCGGUUCGCCAGAGCAGCCACGUGACCCGGAAGUGUCUGCGGACAGCGCUGGCUCCCGGCCUCUAGAGUGAGAUGAGCGCACAACCCUAGAGUCCGUCAAGACUGGCCCGUACGGGCAGGGGUACCUUUACCUUUACCUUUCUCUUGUUCGAUAUUUGCAGAGCUUUAGACUCUAAAGUACAUCUUGGUGUACAAACAUAAUUAGUGCCUUCCUACUGACAGAGGAAGAAGAUAGCUAUACUUUGCUAAUUUCUUUAAGAUGAGCCAGUCAAUAGUUUCUUCAUAUUGAUUGACACACAUCUCCUCUAACCUUUACUCAGGAGCUCACUUCAAUUAAUUAUAGCAUCUUGGUGCUAUUUUGUCCUUUGCAAUAUUCUUGCCAAUGAUUCUUUUGCAUUCAACCCUUGAUCCUGAUGUUUACUGGUAUUCAUUUCCUGGUAUUUGAACAGAAAUGGUUCAUAGUCCAGUUCCCGGCAUUGCCUGCUGGUCUGGGGAAAACACCUGUCUAAAACUCUGAAACCCUGCCAAUCAGUGUGGGCAGUACUAAGCUAGGUGGGUGGUCUGACUUUGUAGAAGAUAUCUUCUUGUAGUGGUCUUUUGUGUUCCAACCAAAUGGAUAUUGGACAGUGUCGGUAUGUGCAGGAGAAUUUAAUACCCCACUUAGAAGGUACCACUAUGUUUUGAUGUGAGGAGAAGGUGCGUGGACUUUCCUCCUGUGACUAUGUCUUGCCAAAUGCAAUGUGGUUCUUUUGUUUAUGAGAUUCAGAGGCACUGCAAACACAAGUGAGUGAGACGAUUAAAGAUUUUAUUCUAAACAGCAAACAUUAAAUACAUUAUCAAGCAAGCCCUUCAAUCUGCCACUUGGCAGCCCUCAAGAAGUCGUGAAGCGACUCCCCCAGGUAGCCUUAGUUUGCACAUAAAUGAUCGAUCAGUCCGUGUGUGAGCUUCUCAAAAACUAUGCCCAACACCAUCCGAUUUAUAGAUAGCUAACCUGUGUGGUUUGCCUGGCUGCCUACAUGCUACUAGCUACAUACAGAUUAGCCACCUCUCCCAAUGCUUCACUUUCUUCAAACAAUGUCCAACAUCAAAAGAAGGUACCCAACAAUAUCACUUCCUUCCAGCAGAUUAGAGGCAUUAAAGGCUGCUCUUCAGCCAUCAAAGAGCUUAACAAGAGAUAGAGAUGGGGAAGCAAACAGAGGCAGGAAAGCCAGGAGACCAUGUUAGAUCACCAUCUCCUCGAAAUACAAAUAUCUUCUGGCUAAAUUGCCCAUACAGUCUAGAAGGCACUGCUUGACACAACCAGGAUGACACAGUGAAGGGCUUCAUGCAUCAUACUUGGAGAGGACCUACCAAUGCCUCACAGUGGCUUAUCACGUCCAUUGGCUUGUAAAGGUAAAAGUAAAUGACCUCUGACAGUUAAGUCCAGUCGUGAACGGCUCUGGGGUUGCGGUGCUCGUCUCGCUUUACAGGCCGAGGGAGCCGGCAUUUGCUUUCGCAAACAGUUUUUUCUGGGUCAUGUGGCCAGCAUGACUAAGCUGCUUCUGGUGAAACCAGAGCAGCGCACGGAAAUGGUGUUUACCUUCCCAUCAGAGCGGUACCUAUUUAUCUACUUGCACUUUUUUGGUGUGCUUUUGAACUGCUAGGUUGGCAGGAGCAGGGACAAAGCAAGCCACCACAUCUUUCCCAGGAGAGAUGCGGGGCUCGGGCACGCUGCAGGCCCCGCGGUGAGUGUAGCCCAGCAUUUUGUCACCCCCCCUCAGUGGUGACACCUGGGGCAGACCGCACCCACCGCACCCCCCUUCCUCCACCCCUAGCAAGAGCAUGUCCCUUCUGCUGGCAGGUUGAUCCUUCCCAGGUGCACUACAUAUGCAAAAACAGUUAAAAUAUUUGCAUAUAUAAAAGCAGUUUUUAAAAAACUACUACAUGCUUUUAAAAAAUAAACGAUUGUAUGUAUAAAAGAAUUGCAAAUAAAUCCAUGUAAGGACCUCCACUUAGAGACAAAAAAAAUCUCUUUUGAAGCCUUAUUGAAAGAGCAAAGGUCAAAUUCCUCAAGAAGUCAGCACCACACUCACUUCCCCUCUCAUCUCGUUCACAGACAAUGCUGCUUAUUCUUGAGAUACUUGGAAGACAUGGAUUGGCCUGACCUAGUGCUUUGCAGAAGAGGCCUCUAAGUAAGGUAAUGAUGGAGCUAAGGCUUAUUUUAUAAGUGGUAUGUUGGGGCUAUGUGCUCCUACUUGAAUCCUGUGCUAUCCGACUUGGAAGCCCCAGAUCCUAUUACGUGAGCCAUGAACAUGCGCCAUGCUUGAUGCGGAACACUCUCGCAUGAUGAGGUUCACCUGGCACCCUCAUUAACCUCUUUAGGUAAGAACUCAUCUCUUCGCCCAGGCAUUCAUGUUUAUUUGCUUUGCUGGUAUUUGACGCAACUUAUGUGCACUUAACUCGUUUGCAUUCAGCUUUAUGCGCUUGGGGAGGGGGGAGUAAAGGCGGAUGGAAAGGGGGCUGGCAUUCAGGAAUAAAGACAUUGGCUAUGCUACCCACCACUGAACUGAAUCUGUUUUGACUAUAUACAAUUUUGGCUUCACACAAUAUCCCCAGAUGUAGCCUUCGUGUAAGCUGAGAGUCACCUGCUGUUUGACUGAGUUAUUGUAUGACUUUUAUUGUACUGUGCUGCUCUUUUUUCUGAUUUUAUGUCAUGCUUUAUGCUUUUAAAAUUUUGUCAGUCACUUGGAGAGUUGUUGCUUGAAUUAUUAUUAUUAUUAUUAUUAUUAUUAUUGACAAUGACUUCUUAGAGACAUUUAUUACUUCUCAUAUUGUGGGGUGGAAACUUAUAAGGCAGAAAGCUAAGCUCUGGUGAUAUUUGGUGAUCCUUGGUUCAAAAGUUCGGAAUCUAUGCUCUUCAGUACACCCCACACAGAUGUUUAUGGCACCUCUUUAGUGAGGGAAAUGCACUCCCUGUAUGCUCAGAGGCAUUGUGUUCUACAACUAGCUUGUGGAGAGACCCCACCACCACCAAAAUGACCCCAAGAAACCCCUGAUAUAAGAAUGAGCCCAGGCUGAUGGGAAGCUGCUUUUGAACAAGACAUUAGUUUAUGCACUGGUCUCAGAUUGGAAGAUUUAUUUACAAUUGGUACCAAGUGCAUGUUAAACCGUGUGGCAUAACCAUGUGAUUUCAAGAUACUGCGGAUUGUGGAGAUACUUUGGGGCAAUUGUGGUUGUCUUAGACACAUGGGAAACCACAAGUCUCCUUGUCCUUCUUGAUAUUGCAAGGCAUUCCUUCUCUGUGUGCAGCAUGCUGCAAACUUUCAGACUGGCGGGUGUAGCUUGGCUUUUGGUCCAUCUCAGCCUGUCAUUGGACUUGUUCUUAGAUGGCUACCUUCCCAAGAAAACAGAUGCUCCUUGUUGCUUGCAUUGCUCUGAAGCACUUUGUACUGCAUGCCAGUGGAUGACAAAUGUCAGUGGUGACAGUAAUCGCUUCCAUGUAUCCUGAACACAGAUUUUCCUUAGAGUCUAAGGCAGUUUGCAAGCUGCUCCUCUACAUCCUGCUAUAGCAGAGCUUGUACAUUGCCCUAACCCAUGGGUAGGCAAUCUAAAGCCCAGGGGCCAGAUCCAGCCAAAUCGCCUUCUAAAUCCGGCCUGCAGACGGUCUGGGAAUCAGCAUGUUUUCACAUGAGUAGAAUGUGCCCUUUUAUUUAAAAUGUCUCUCUGGGUUAUUUGUGGGGCUUGCCUGGUGUUUUUAUACGAGUAGAAUGUGUGCUUUUAUUUAAAAUGCAUCUCUGGGUUAUUUGUGGGGCAUAGGAAUUUGUUCAUCCCCCCCAAAAAAAAAAAAUAUAGUCCUGCCUCCCACAUGGUCUGAGGGACAGUGGACCAGCUCCCUGCUGAAAAAGUUUGCUGACCGCUGCCUAACCCAUGUUGUGGAACUCCCAGUGUAUGGAAGUUCACCAAAUUACCCCUUCCCUUCCUUUUAGGAUGCUCAUUUUCGUGGCAUAGGCUAAUUUCUGGAAUCAGAGAUCUGAACACAAUUUCUUCCCAGUUUCUCAGUUGCAUGUUUCAAUUGGAUGGUUUCAAGGUCUUUGGACAGCAUGUUUGGAUGGAAUAGUUUGAACAGGUUUGAUGAAUUGAUUGCAUUUAAUUAUUUUUGUCAAUAUGGUUGAAAUCCAGUGAGAAGGUAGGUACUUUCCUUUGCAAUUUUCAGAGUGAUAGCACCAUAUCAGUGCUGCAUCUUUGGGGAUGUUUAGAACCAGGUCCAUGCCGAGAUUGUCUGAUGCCCAGGGUGGGAGUCUUGUUAGAAUAAAGUUAUAAACUAAAACAACGUAAGUCUGCCAGGCCCAUGACAGUCCCCCCCCCCCGACUUAGACCUUCGAGGCCUGGGGUAAGUGUACCCAGCUCCCCCCACCCUGUCUGCACAGGCCUGGUUAGAAUACUGGUGUUUCAAGUCAGUUGCCACUCACAACAGCCUUGAUCAGCAAUACAAACCCAGUGCAGAUUUGGGUUUUAGCCAGAACAGCUCCACACCAGCAAAUUCCGCCAUUGAAAGUUCUGGUUGGCUUUCAAUGCAUUACUGAGCUGAGUUCAAGGUGCAAUCCUGUUCCCCCAGAAGUCAGCAUGAAGCAAGCUGGUGUAAAUUAAGCCAGCGUAAUGUUACACCAGACCCAAACCCUGUUCAGCAAGGGGACGGCUGCUGCUGCUGCUGCUGCAUUGCCCAAGCUUGGCAGUGGGGAAACAAGCCUUUAAAGUAGUGUUUUGUGCCAGGAUUCCAGGUCACAUGACUGAGUUGAAUGAGCUUAGGCUGCUCCUAUCCCCAAAAUGUCUUUUCUUGGGUUAGGGGACUUACAGCAGCCUUGGCUCAGCUAACUGAGCCCUGGCUUACCUGGAAUGACCAAGUUAUGCUGGUCCAAGGCUGGAGACUUAACACUGGCUGAGCCUGACUGGGCUGGGCAUUGAUUGGCUGAGCCAGAGAUCCACUACAUCUAAACUGCUCAUUCCAGCAGAUUGUGCCAUAGGAAUUCUCCCUUAGUCAAUAAAGCCCUAAACAGCUGAAGACCAGGUUACCUAUAGGACCAACAUGCCCCUUAUACACCAGCCAGAUCAUUCCAACCAUCUGGUGAAGCCCACCUGACUUUCCGACAGUUGUUUCAGAUUUGUUUAGUGUCUAUGCAGACCAAGGUCUUUAGUGUCUUGGCACCAGUACAGUAAUAGGACACUGUUCCUAUUGAAAUCAGGCACCCAUAACUCUGAUAUUUUGCCCCCUGUUGAAAACAUUUCUGCCUCGCCAAGCAGUUUUAAAGCAUUGGUGUGGUUUUGCAUCUAUCAUUUGUUUUGUAUUUUAUGAUUUCACAAUAUAAAUCCAUUUUAAUGUUUGUGUUUCACAUCACCAUGCUAUAUUUUUUUUGCAUGAGCAAAUACCGGUACUCCUAUGAAUAAAAAUAAAACGAAUCAUCUGGGCCAAGGUCAUAACGCCAAUUCCGGUCACCAGAUAAGUAAGUGUCAAAAACAAACUAGGUUCGGCACUGAGCUGUGAAGAUGACAUAGAGUUAAUUCUGGAGUGAGUCUGCAGAAAAUUUACUCAAGUCCCAUUAUCAGCAUGUCAGUAAGGAUGCUUAAGGGAUUCAAUAUUUGCUACUUUUGAUAGGAAGUGAUCUGCACCUUAGCCGCAAAAUCUAUGUGUGCAUCAGAUUUUAUAAUUUUCCAUUGGUUGCAACACAACUCUUGCUGGAGGCGGAAUCUCAGAAUGCAUUCAAAAAUACAGAUUUUGAGAUAGAACACUUUGGGAGAAUAUAUACUCAAAACUUUAAUUGUGAAUCUUGCUGCAGUGUGUGUGUGUGUGUGUGUGUGUGUGUGUGUAGGUAGGUAGAUCAGCAUGAUAACAGGAUGGAAUUGAGCUAUGAGCAGGCAUGCAAAAAUUACCUAGUCUGAAAAUAGACUGCUUGGAUCACCCUACCUAUCAGUUUUGUUCGCCAUAUGGAUUGGCUGUGGGAAUUUUAUUUCAAUAGGGAAGAAAGAUUCCUGUAUGCAAUGUUUUUUCAUGUAUUUUGCAGUAGCUGUUAAAUUCAAUGAAAGGAGAUAAAACUCAGGAGACCAUUUGGUUAUAGCCACAUUAAGAGGAAAAACACACAACUAUAUUAAAUCCAAUUUGAUUCUUGCUUUGAAACACAUGUAAAGAAAUGACAAUCUUUGUGGAAGCUUAAAUUACUGCUAACUAAUCAACACCACUUAGUGACUUGCUAACACUGUGUGUGAUUUCUAAUUACUUCUGUAGUUUGUCAUUGUUUAACACAAUCAAAGCUAAUUGACCAGAAAUUUUUUUUUUUAGGUGAUAUUGUUGUAGGCUGCAGCGAUGUUUUUAGUGUUAUUGUUCCACUUUCUUUUAAGCACCCCAACCUUCUCUGCAUCAUUAAAUCUUAAAUUGGACUUUGAAAAGAAGUGUAUUUUAUUACAAUUAUCAAAUGGAAAGGAAUGUUCAUUCCAUGGUAAAAAAAAAUAUACCAGAAGGGUCUUUAUUGCCAUUCUUUGCAGGUCAACGGUUUUUAAAAAGGGAAAUUUGAUUCAAAAGACAUAUUCUCAUUUAUACUACAGUAGUUAUAGAAGUCAAAGGCAAGAGCAGGAACUAGUGUUAAGUGGGCAUUGCUGCUUUUCCCUUUCAGUGGAAAAUCUUAACGUCUAAGAGAAAAUUAAUGAUAAUGUAGAACUAUUAGUGGAUUGUGCAAAUAUGUCUUUGGUGAGUAAUCUGUAGUCAUUUUAUCUUGUCCUACAUAUUAUGAAAUAUGAAAUCUAUUUUUUCUGCAUUUACCUAUUUUUACAAAUUUUCUUUCUCUUCCUUUCCCUUCUUCCUAUGUGGAAAGAGAGGUCUUUGGAGCUGGGGUAUAGGUCAACACAGGGCCACAUUUAGGUUUGAUGAGGCCCUAAACUACUGAAGGUAAUGGGGCCCUUUAUAUGUCCAGCUGUUCUUUCUCAGCAACAAAUUGUUGCUGUUUUUUGUGUGGAAUAUAUGCUAUAUGGUAAUUUAUGGACCUAAUAGGUAUCUAAAGCCAUUUGCACAUAACAAAUAGGAGCCUACACAACACAAAACACUGUUGCUGUAUGUAGGUUUUAUUUGAUUUGUUUUUUAUCUUAUAUUUUGGAAAUGUACAUCCAGGUUUUUUUCCUUUAAAUUUUUUGGGGGAGCCCAAGAGAGUGGGGCCCAAAGCUAUAGCUUGUUUAGCUUAUAUAUACAUCUGGCACUGGGUGGACAUGUAGUAUCUGGAACGGAGGAAACAACCACAGCACAGUGGUAGAGCAUAUGCACUCCAUGCAGAAAAUCCCAGCUUCAUGCCCAUUUGAAAAGACUGUUUACCAGGUGAUGAGAAAGAUCCUGGAGAUUCCGUGCUAGCCAGAGUUAGCCCUACUGAGUUAGAUGGACAAAUAGUCAUGUUUCAUGCCCUGGAUCAAUUGUUCUUCAAGCACAGAGCCAUUGAGCUUAAUGGCAGGGACAAACGCGGCAGGCAGAAGGUGCACUCUACUGACCAGUGAAAAGCAGCAGAUGUUGGCAAAGCAGAGUAGUGUGCUGUGGUUCAUCUGGUUUCCCAAUGUGGAUGGCAUUGCCGAUAACCAAGAUGGAGUGGGGUGAAAAGCCAGGGAGGUCAGUGUGGCGAGGGUGCAGUGGCAGAGCUAAUCCAAUAUCCCUGCCGCUGCAGCCACACAGCACUGACCUCCCCUCUGUGUUUACUCUUCUAGUCAGUUGCUGGCAGUGACCUCUGCAGUGGGACGCCAGGUGAGCAACUUACCUGCCUGCUGGCCAUUACCGGUCAAGAGUUAAUGUACCUUAUGAACCUUGAAUGCUGGGAUAGCUCAGUCGGUAGAGCAUGAGGUGCUGAAUCUUAGAGUCAUGGGGUUAAGCCCACGUUUUGCAAAAGAUUCCUGCAUUGCAGGGGGUUGGAUUAGAUGAUCCUCACAGUCCCUUCAAACUCUACAAUUCUAUGGUUCUAUGAUUCUAUGACUACCUGACUCUGUAUGCUCGAUGUUAAUCACUGAUGGGGCACAUUUGGGAGUUCCCCAUGCCCCUGAAGUUUGGCUGGGACUAGGGACCAAUAUUUUAGUGUGCAACUCCCCAUUGGAAGAAGUCUGACAGGAACCACCCCUGCCUUCUUGUAGGCAUCUUCUGAAAACUGCAUUGUUUAUUUUCUUUUUCUUUCUUUCUUUUUUUAAAAUAUUUUUAUUAGUAAUUUCAACAUAACAUUUUAUCAAAAAGCAUAUCAUCCUUAAAUCCCCCCUAUUUUUCCCUCCCUCCUCCCCAAAAUAUAGCCCCCCUCCCCUACUCCCCCAGACUUCCCUCAGCUCCUCUCUCUGGUUUAUCAACAUAUGUUAUUUUCUGCAUGUUACAAAACUGUACAGAUCCUUAAUUUAUCUAUCUAGAUGUUAUCAAUAAGAAGUUUGUGAAUGUUUAUUCAAAACCUGCCAAGGAGUCCAGUUCAUUUUGUUGUUUCUUUAAAUACUUUGUAAAGGGUUCCCAUUCAUCUUUAAAAUCACAGUUAUCCUUAUCAUGUAGUUUGUGUGUCAGUUUUGCCAAUUCUGCGUAGUCCAUCAAUUUUUCUUGCCACAGUUCUUUGGUUGGGAUUUCCUCAUUCUUCCAUCCUUGUGCUAUUAAGACUCUUGCCGCCAUUGUCACAUACAUAGAGAUAUUUUUGAAAACUGCAUUGUUUAGAUAGACCUUUGUAAUAUGAAUUUCUCUCUUUUUUAAAAAACCAACCAAUGUUUAUUGAUUUUUAACGGUGUUUUUAUGGACCCUUUUACUGAUUUUAUAUUAACUCUGUAUGUUGCAUACCACCUUGAUAUGUUUCUAGGAAAAGUGCAGAUUAUAAGGACUUCAGAAACCAGGUUCCUAGUAUUUGAUCCAAGUCAGGCCAAGCUAGAAGUUUCAUACUCUCUGCCAAGUGCAAGAGCUGAUGCAACAUGCUUUUCCUUUAGUGCCUUAAGAUGGCUCUGGGGCCUGAGUGCAUGCUGUUUAUGAUAGGUUGAGGUCCCAACUUCCAACCAUGAAGUCAGUGGUGCAAUCCCUGGCAGGACUGAAAAACGAAUACAUGUCAUACUCUGGAUUAGGGAUAGGUUCAAAAUAUUUAAUGCCAGUAUAUUUUGCAUGUACUUGUCUCUGGAAGUUAUAUGGGACAAGGAAAAACAGAGAGAGGAAUUUGAUGAAGAGCUUUGUCAAUUGUUGCACCAAUGGAAGUAUUUUGGCUUGCCAGAUGGAAUGAUCCUCUGUACACUGUUCUGGGGGUUAUCCAUAUGCCCUCAGAGCUAGAAUUUUAAGGGGGUUCACAAGGGGAGGAGAAGGGAUGAAACUGCUGUUGAACUAGCAGAAGUCAUUGCAUGAGUUUCUGCUACCAGGACUCAUUAGUUGAAGCUGGCUUAUAGGACCCCUUUACUGAAAGUGACUCCUCUUGAAAGUUGGUGGUCUAAUGCAUUCCAUCCAUUCAUCUCUCAACAGGCACAAUUAUCUUACAUGUGAUUCAAUAGGAGCAUAUUCUCUUUUGGUCAGCUGAAUUCUGGCAAAUAGCCUGCCUCAGGGUUGUGGUUUUGUGCCCCGUGUUGGGCAACAGAUUCCUGAAUUCCAGGGAGUUGGACUAGAUGACCCUCAUGGUCUCUUCCAACUCUACAAUUCUGUGAUCAGCAGAGCAUAGUGCUAUUAUGCCCAUAAGGGGAGCCUGCAACAAAAUCUGAUUUGGUAUUGUUUUUAUGCAAGAGUUCCUACAUGUGCUAUGGUUUUAACUGUUUUGCAUAGGUUAUUAUACUGUAAAUCUCUUCAAGAUGCUUUAUGGGAAGCAAUUAAUAAAUAAUAAUUUAGGGUUCUUUCUCGUUAAACUGAACAUAGACCCAAUAGCACUUCAUAUAGAUGACUGUCCACUGACAGCUCUUCAGAUAGAAAAUUGUCUUAUGUAAAGCAAGAUACAUAGGGACCGUAUACUGCAGAUGAGACUCUUAAGGCUGGAAGAAAGUAGAUUUCUUGAUAUCCCAUUGUGAAUUUAUAGCAGAGGCAAGAUUUGGACUGGGACAUUACCUACUACACCACCAUGCAGAAUCUCUGGUUUUGCACCAAUUUUAUUUAGGAACCCCAGAGAACAGGCAGAAGCUGCCCAUAUUUUUCACAGCCGCAGCACUCUUGAAUUAUUAGAACAUUCAAAAAUACAAGGCCAAAGUCUUGACUGGUGUAAAUUGUCGCUGCUCGACUGGAAUCAAUUUUACAUCUGCAGAGAAUCUGGUGAAAAGCCCUUUAAGGUUACUUGAUUAAUACUUUAGCAGAGCUGGAAAAUUAUUAGAACAUUCAGGGGCCUCUUCUGUCAUUCCAUGAAGCCCUUGACAUUUAUUGUAAUUAAAAAUCAAAAUGCCUACAAAACAUUUCUCUUGUUUAAAUGUUAAAGAAGUGGUGCUCUCGUCACUUGAAAACACCCAUUCAUCUUGACCCUGAGUGUGGGAGUUUAAUUCAUCUAAGAAGGGAGUCGGGGGAUUUAGUGAUGAACUAGGCAUGAAGUGAAUGUUACAUUCCUCACCUUAUUCCUCUCCAGUAUUUUGUUCAGGGUCAUACACCCAUUUUUGUUGUAUUUUGUCAUCAUCUAAUUAAACUGUGGGUACGUACUGAGAAUACGCAACUGAGAGAUAAGCUAGCUUUAGGGUGGAAGCCAAACUCCACCGCUUCUAACUGCCAGGCUGGAAGGUGGGGUGGCAAGGAAAUUCUGGGUUUAGCUAGGACUGAUUCCACACCUUGCCAGUAGCUGGACAUGUUGAAGAUCCAAAGAAUGCUUGGCUGAUCCAGCUCUGCCCCCUACUCAUCCUGACCCUACCAUCAAAAUGCUUGAUUUUUUUAUGGUAUGUAAGUGCCACCAGUUGUGAAGGUACCACUGACAGUAGCUUCACCUGCUCACAAUUUAGGUGGGUGCAGUCAAGAGCUCUGCAGCUUCCAUUGGUGGAGCCCACCUACCCAGGCAGGUAGGGAUGGGCAGUGGAAAAACCCUGCUUCACCCAUACUCUUUCCAGCAUGGUAGAUCAGGGGGUUGGAUUGCCCUGGCCAGCAGCAAUCUUACGCCUGGGAGUUGUUGGCAUCCGUCUGUCUUGAGGGACAAUGAAAGAAUAUGCCAUCAGGGGUAAAGUCAAACCAUUGGAGAGUUGCAGCACCUGCUAUGGCUGUAGAGACCGAUAUGGGAAAGACAUGUUUUAUUGCAGCUGGGGGAGAUGAACAUGUUUGGUUUUGCAGGCGUUUCUUCUCUCAGUGCUCCUUCCAGUGGUCAUUCCUCCUCUGGUCACUACUGUGGAUACACAACCUGACUGCCUGAGAGUAAGUCUCAUUGAAGUCUAUGGGGCUUACAUCUGAGCAUAUAUACAUAGAAAAUGUGCCAAGUUUCCAGAACAGGCAUAGGCAAACUCAGGCCCCCAUAUGUUUUGAGAUUACAAUUCCCAUCAUCCUUGACCACUGGUCCUGUUAGCUAGGGAUGAUGGGAGUUGUGGCCCCAAAACAUCUGGAGGGCUGAGUUUGCCUAUGCCUGUUCCAGAACCUUUUCCUAAAGCAAAAUGGCAACCAGAUUGGAGCCUUCCCCCACAAACACAUCUGAGAAAUUGUAAGUUGAGUGCUUUGUAAGACUGGUGGAAGUAUCUCUUGAACAUUUUGAACAUCCUUAGCUACUGCUUCAUUAGAUUUGUUGUAACCAACCCUGGGACCUGGGCAGGUAAUAAAUUAUAAUAUUAAGAAUAAAAAUAAUCGUCUUGCUUCAUGCCAGUUGCUUGUGCAUAGGAUUACUCCUUUAGUGUCAGAACUGGGGCUCAGAAGAUAUUCUCAGUGUUUAUAAAAAUAACAUGUGAAUCUGCCCCCUGAUAACAAACUAUUAGAGCACAGCGCAUUUAGAGCCAACCUCUGAUGUUCUGACUUCGCACAUCUGCAGGGGCAAAUCCCCUGUGCUGCAGAGAGGAUGCGAUCUUGUAAGGAAAGUUUGUUACUUUUCACUCUCCCCACCCCCACCCCACUGAAUCUCUGUCCACUCGAUCAGGAAACGCAUUCAUGCCACACGCAGCACUGCUUCUUUGCCUUCGUGAUUGUGAGAAUACUCUCGGGCAAUUAAUCUAGAACAAUAGACACAGUAUUUAUGAAGGCAAUAUAAAUGUUAAUAGCAACGCGGAUUUUGUGUGCACAAGACAAAAAGGUCACGUCCCCCCCCCCAUCAUCGCUUGGGACAGUUUGAUAAUGAACGUUUAAUAAUGUCAAAAUCGUAUUGCUUAUUCAGCAGAGAUGAGAUAUCAUAUCAUGGAAGUCUAUCACCGAUGAUGAAAUCAUUACCUGAGCUGAAUGGGAAGAAAGCCAGUCAGUCAUCUGGGAGGAUUUAUUUAGAUAGCUUCUAACACAAGGAGGACCUUGAUUUAAAUCACUUCGUAAUGCCUUUUUGUCUCUGCCUCUUCAUCCCCUUUACUUUCCGAGCUUUACAAACAGAAUAGAUCUGAAUGACAAUCGAGGAAAUUUUCUUGGUUUCCUAUUUUACGCUGUUUCACCCCAAGUGCUCAAGAGAGGCACUAAUCCUUUGAAAAAGAGGGCAGCCUUCUAACAAAUUAACAUUACAUGCAUUCCCUAUGAGCCACUAGAAGGCAAGGCAAAUUAGGAUUAUCUUUUCGUUAAAAAAAUAAAGUCUUAAGAAGAACACAGGAAGCUGCCUUAUACUGAGUUAAUCAAUUGGUCUGUUGGAUUCAAUAUUGUCUACACUGACUGGCAGCAUCCGUCAAACAUUUUGAGCAGGUUUCUUUAUCUGCCCUACCUGGAGAGAUCAGGAAUUGAACCUGCAACCUUCUGUAUACAAAGCAUGUGGCGUGUAUUUGGCCCUUUUCCAACGUUCAGCUUCCGAGUGAAUUUUCUAGGAGAGGGGUAGCAAACAUAGGACUUACCCACACAUACCUUUACUCCCAAUUUCCAGGCACAGCUUGUGCUUUCAAGCUUCAUGUUUGAUCGCCAUUGGAUCAGAGCAAACAGCAAGCCUCAGAAAGCUCAAAUUAUCAUUUGUUGUGCUUCAGCCUUAUAGAGCAAGUUUUCACAGAGAAAGCUCUAGGGCGAAAGAAAGAGCACUCAGAGAUUGAGCUUUUCAUUGCAGACCUGUGAUUAGAAACCACAGGGCAAAAUGUAAGUGGCUAAUAAUUUAGAGAUAAUUUUAUUAUUUAUACCUUGCCCCAGCCCCAAGUUCAUUAUUUUCAGUGGGUCCACGUAGUUCAUUGCCACUCAGUGUUUUCAACACUGAUGGGCACCGAAUCUCCAGGAUUUCAGGAAAGCAUCUCUCCACCCUUACCUGAAGAUGCUGAAGACUGAACCUGGGACAUAAUAAUAAUAAUAAUAAUAAUAAUAAUAAUAAUAAUAAUAUUUCCCCAGCCUCUCUGGGUGACUUUCAACAGAACAUUAAAAACAGAAUAAAACUUCAAACAUUAAAAACUUCCCUGAACAGGGCUGCCUUCAGAUGUCUUCUGAAAGUCGGAUAGUUGUUUAUUUCCUUAACAUCUGAUGGGAGGGUGUUCCACAGGGUGGGUGCCACUACUGAGAAGGCCCUCUGCCUGGUUCCCUGUAACCUCACUUCUUGUACUGAGGGAACCACCAGAAGGCCCUCAGACGCAUGCUACAACCCUUCCCUUUCAGGACAGAUCAAACUUUUGGGGGGCUUCCUUUAUGAGUACACCCUACGCCCGGGCUAUCUGAAGGACUGUAUUCUCCCAUACAAUCUUCAAGCUCCAUGAUCUUGAUCUCUCAUUCUUGCCACCCUCACAGGUGGUAGGGACCCAGGAGAGGGCCAUCUUGGUGGCUGCUCCCAGAUGUCCCUUACUGGUGAGGCUAGACUAGCUCCCUCCUCGUUGUCUCUUCUUUGGCAGGUGAAGGCUGUUUUAUUCCAGCAGGCUUUGGUGAACCAAAGGAAAGGGCUUUUAAUGGAGUUGUGUUGUGCGAUCUGCAUUUUAACAUAUUUGUUUUGACAUUGUUUUAAAUUCCAUUAUAGCUUAAUUCCUUUUUAACUAUUAUCUUUUAUAUGUUUUUAGCUAUCUGUGUUUUCCCCUCCCCUUCUUUUAAUUUUUAUGAGGUGCCUUGAGUCCCAUUUCUGAGGGAAAGGCAGGACUUAAAUGAAUAAAGUCAGUGUAGUGUAGUGGUUAAGAGUGGUGGACUCAUAAUCUGGUGAGCUGGGUUCACUUCCUCCAAAUGCAGCUGCUGGGUGACCUUGGGCUAGUCACACUUCUCUGAAGUCUCUCAGCCUCACUCACCUCACAGAGUGUUUGUUGUGGGGAGGAAGGGAAAGGAGAUUGUGAGCCGCUUUCAGACUCCUUAAGAGGAGUGAAAGGCAGGAUAUCAAGUCCAAACUCCUCCUCUUCAUAACAAUGCUCUCAAUUGAACAUGGGACCUUCUGCAUUAUGGACCUGCUUUCAGAAGACUCAUCAAGACCCUCAAGAUAUUGCAAUACUUGUUCAGUGGCAGAGCGUGGGCCAGUCAUGCAUAAGGCCCCAUUAGGUGAUGGAGGUGGGUCAAAUGAACAGUUUUAUGUACCUGCUUUCCUCCCAAGGCCCUCAAGGUAUUGCAAGCACUCAAAGGGGAUGCUAGGGAGAAAGUUUGCCCGCCCGUCUCUUUGUCAAAUAUAGCUUAGGUGAUGAUUUGCUAUAGUGAGGAGAAAAGGAUGCAAAGCCGCUUUUGCUUGGCAUUCUUUUACAAGCAGGCGAUAAUGGUUCAUCUAAUGGCUGCCAUGAGAAGUUGCAUACCACCUGCCAAAUCUGCAUUUGCAAACACAGGGAUAUUUUUUAUUCAAUUCUGCAUAUGAACAAUGCCAAGUGGAUGUCAUUGCUCCCCCUCCACUCUCUCAGAUACAUUAAUACAUUUUUAUAACUAAUUACAUAACUUCCCAUAGCAUUCCAGAUCAGCAGUGCAUGAUAAUUUGCUCUUUUUCAGUGACUGAUGUUGAGCAGCAAUGAUUUCAAUGUGUUUUUAAUAUUUUAAGUAAAUUGAAGUGUGUGUGUGUGUGUGUGUGUGUGUGUGUGGUUGGUUAAAACUGUGUUUCCUUCUGUAGUAGAUUAUUUAAUGACUUACUGAAAUGAUAGAUUGUUUUACUUUAAUGAAGAAUUGUUUCUUAACUAGAGUUAUCAUUUAUCUGUAGCUGUCAGAAAUCAUUCAAAAUUUUCGGUGUUUCCCCCUCUUUAUAAUGGAGAGAGAUGCUUUUCUGCCUCACAACUUUUUUGCUCAGUAAAAAGAGAAAUGACCGUCAAAUUCCACACAAACCUGUAGGCGCCCUCCUUAUUGUAAGUGAACAACCCACCUACAAAUUUCCAAAUUAAUCAAAGCCCGUCUAAAGUUAAGUGCAUCUAAAAUCCGUUUGUUCAACUGGAAAAAAGUUUAAGGCAUGUAGUUAAUUCUCCAGUUGAAAUCAACUGGAAAUUAAGAGACCUUAACUGGGUAGAUUGUGCCUAUAGGUUUCCCUCCCCCUUCCUAAAUAAAUUAGUCUCAAAUUAAUUGUUCAUAUAUGUUCAUUUUGCUUAUUCUCCAGCUGACUUAGCUUCUGAUAUGAAAAUUCAUCCUUAUGUAGAUUGAGAGAGAAUUGUAUGCCCAAGCAGCUACCAUAAAGCAAGCCAGUGUAAGGUGAGCUGGCGCAAAGUUAUACCACAUCCAAACCACUGGGGCAACUGCUUCUGCUCUGCCUAAACCUGGCAGAGGGGGGAAAACCAUUGCCUUUAAAAUAGUGGGUUGCCAGGUCACAUGACUGAACUGAACAGGUUUAGGAUCCAACCUAAAUCCCUUCUGCCUGGCUCCACCCCCCUACCACAGCCCUGGAAUGCCCUUGGCCGACUUGCUUCAGCUCAGCCAGUUUGGCUCAGCCGGGGUGAACGAAUUAUGUCGGCAUAUCUUCACCUAAACCAGGGUUACGUACCUUGGCAUCUCAAUUUUCAGUGCAACACCCAGGGGCGUCUUGCCCAUAGAGGCAAGGGGCGUGGGGCGCCAGGGCGCCAAGUUCUAGAGGGCACCAGGGAAGAGGCGGAGGCUGGGCAUGGCACUUCCCAGCAUCAGCUCGCUGCCCUCGCCUGCCUCACUGAAGCAGCAUCGCACCCGGAGCCUCCGCCUCUUCCCCGCCAGAGGAGCCACCCUCCAGCUGCUGCCCACCUCCUCCAACCCUGCAAAGGUGCCAGCAGCACCAUAAAAAGGUUGGCAACUCUGGGAAAGGGGGGGGCGCCAGAGGGAUCUUUGCACCACGGCACUGGAUAUACUUAAGAUGGCCCUGGCAACACCAAAAUCCAGCAUUCUCCCAUCUCUUGCCUUCCACUGGAUGUCACUGUUGUGGCACCUGCUAUGGCUCUCCAGAAGCACUGCGCCUAGUGCAACCAAACCGGUUACUCUACCCACUAGAUUCAACUUGGUUAACACUGGCUGGACUUGGCUGAGUUGGGAAUCAACCAGCUGAACUGGAGAUCUGCUGCAUCUUAAGCUGCUCAUCCAGGCAGAUCUUGCCCAUAGGUUUGACCCCUUAGUUGUGUUUUCAUGAUGGAUCUUACACCGGACUGCAGUUCCACUGUAACAUUGAUCACACCCUGAAUCAUCUUUUUAAUGGAGCCUUGAGUGCAAUGCAUCUGAAUCAGCGGGUACUUGUCCAUUCUAUGGGUGAUGCUGAAAUCUCAUCAGUAGAAGUUGCAUGAACACUGAACAUUAGUAAUGAUCUCACACUUUCCCCCUAAAAAUCAAGUGUCAGAGAGGGCAUUGGGAAUGCAGGUCAGCAAUAACUCACAAGGUGUCAGUGAAGCUAAGGCAAUCUCAUAGGUAAACUGGUCCUAAGUUGUUAUGGGGUUUGUAGGCUAAUAGUAACACUUUGAACAUGGCUCAGUAGCAUAUCAUCAACCAGUGCAGAUCUCUGAGCACAGGUGUUAUAUGCUGACAAGGCCUCACUCCUGUUGGCAUCCAUGCUGCAGCAUUCUGCACUAACUGCAGGUUCUGAAUCAAAUGCAAGGGUAGCCAUUGUCCCUAUUUUCCAGGGACAGUCCCGGAUUUACAGAAGCCGUCCCAGUUUCUGAUUUAAUCCUGGAAUGUCCCGCUUUUCCUUGUUGUUUAGUCGUUUAGUCUUGUCUGACUCUUCGUGACCCCAUGGACCAGAGCACGCCAGGCACUCCUGUCUUCCACUGCCUCCCGCAGUUUGGUCAGACUCAUGCUGGUAGCUUCGAGAACACUAUCCAACCAUCUCGUCCUCUGUCAUCCCCUUCUCCUUGUGCCCUCCAUCUUUCCGAACAUCAGGGUCUUUUCCAGGGAGUCUUCUCUUCUUAUGAGGUGGCCAAAGUAUUGGAGCCUCAGCUUCAGGAUCUGUCCUUCCAGUGAGCACUCAGGGCUGAUUUCCUUAAGAAUGGAGAGGUUUGAUCUUCUUGCAGUCCAUGGAACUCUCAAGAGUCUCCUCCAGCACCAUAAUUCAAAAGCAUCAAUUCUUCGGCGAUCAGCCUUCUUUAUGGUCCAGCUUUCACUUUCAUACAUCACUACUGGGAAAACCAUAGCUUUUACUAUAUGG